UGCUUCUCUCGUUAGCUUCGGUUUCGUUCCGGAGUUGUGAGGAUUCGUUCGACUACGUCCGUUUGUCUUCUUCAUGGAAUCGUUCUUCUUCCUUGCGGGAUUUCAGGCAAGAUGAUCAUACCCUCGAAAUCACUACUAUCUUUGCUAUGCUAGUUUGCUCACUCUUUUGCUAUGCCAAUGCUAUGAUGCCUACCAUUUGCUUGUCAGCCUCCCAAAAUGCCAUGAACCUCUAACCUUUGACACCAUUCCUAGCAAACCGUUGUUUGGCUAUGUUACCGCUUUGCUCAGCCCCUCUUAUAGCGUUGUUAGUUGCAGGUGAAGAUUGAAGUUUGUUCCUUGUUGGAACAUGGAGAUGUUGUUCCUUGUUGGAACAUGUUUACUUGUUGGGAUAUCACAAUAUCUCUUAUUUAAUUAAUGCAUCUAUAUACUUGGUAAAGGGUGGAAGGCUCGGCCUUAUGCCUGGUGUUUUGUUCCACUCUUGCCGCCCUAGUUUCCGUCAUACCGGUGUUAUGUUCCCGGAUUUUGCGUUCCUUACGCGGUCGGGUGAUUUAUGGGACCCCCCUAACAGUUCGCCUUGAAUAAAACUUGCCCAGCAAGGCCCAACCUUGGUUUUACCAUUUGCCUCACCUAGCCCUUUUUCCCUUGGGUUUCCGGAGCCCAAGGGUCAUCUUUAUUUACCCCCCCCCCCCCGGGCCAGUGCUCGUUGUGAGUGUUGGUCCAAACCGUCAACCGCCGGUGGCCACCAGGGGCAAUUCUGGGCUGGCCUACCGGAAGUUUGGACAAUUCGGUGUGCCCUGAGAACGAUAUAUGUGCAGCUCCUAUCAGGAUUUGUCGGCACAUUCGGGCGGCUUUGCUGGUCUUGUUUUACCAUUGUCGAAAUGUCUUGAUGUACCGGGAUUCCGAGACUGAUCGGAGUGUCUCGGGUGAAGGUCUAUUCCUUCGUUGAUCGCGAGAGCUUGUCAUAAGCUAAGUUGGGACACCCCUGCAGGGUAUAAAAUUUCGAGAGCCGUGCCCGCGGUUAUGUGGCAUAUGGGAAUUUGUUAAUGUCCGGUUGUAGAAAACCCGAAGUUGACCUUAAUUAAAAUACAUCAACCGUGUGUGUAACCAUGAUGGUCUCUUUCCGGCAGAGUCCGGGAAGUGAACACGGUGUUGGAGUUAUGCUUGACGUAGGUUGCUAUAGGAUCACUUCUUGAUCAUACUUUUAUCGACCGUGCUUUGCCUUCUCUUCUCGCUCUCAUUUGCGUAUGUUGGCCACCAUAUAUGCUAGUCGCUUGCUGCAGCUCCACCUCAUGCCUUUACCUUACCCAUAAGCUUAAAUAGUCUUGAUCUCGCGGGUGCGAGAUUGCUGAGUCCCCGUGGCUCACCAGAUACUUCCAAAACCAGUUUGCAGGUGCCUAUGUUACCGAGCAGGUGACGCAACCAAGCUCAAGGAGGAGCUCGAUGAAGAUCUUGCCCUUUGUGUUGUUUCGUUCUAGUUGAUCAGUAGUGGAGCCCAGUUGGGGUCGAUCGGGGACCUUUGUCGCAUUUGGGGUUCUUCUUUUAUUUUGGUUCCGUAGUCGGACCUUGAUUGUAUCUGGAUGAUGUAAUGCUUUAUUCAUGUAAUUGUGUGAAGUGGCGAUUGUAAGCCAACUAUGUAUCUUUUUCCCUUAUGUAUUACAUGGGUUGUGUGAAGAUUACCUCACUUGCGACAUUGCUUUCAAUGCGGUUAUGCCUCUAAGUCGUGCUUCGACACGUGGGAGAUAUAGCCGCAUCGAGGGCGUUACAGGGGAGGUAGCUAGGCUCACGGUGGUCCCAGUAGAGCAGACGGCGAGGUCAGGGACGAGCUGCUGCGGCGGUGACGGCAAAAGGGAUCUCCGGCGACGGUCGGUGAGGAUGGGGUCGGUGAAGGCGGUGCAGAGCGUGCGACCGCACUAGGCUUGGCUAGCUCGACGAAGCGGAUGACGGUGGGGCUCGUGAACACGGUGGAGCGGCGUGAGGACGACGGUGGGCACGGCUACAGCGGCGGUGCGGCGGCAGCUGCUUUGGCCAUGGCGGGAGAGAGCGAGAGAGAGGACGGGGGGAGAAUGAGGUGUCCAGGGGCUCGGGGCGGCGCCGAGGAGGCCCUUCGAGGCGUCGCGCUGGCGCGGGCAACGAAGGCAGGCAGGGAGGUGGCGUGGCGAGCUCGGCGGCGUCGCGGUGUCCCUCCUCUGCCUACUGGCAGAGGUGGGUGGUGACUGGCACGGGCCAGGUGGGCCGGCCUAGUGCAGGUAAGUGGCCAGUGGCCUUUCUCUCUCUCUUUUGUCAUUUAAUUUUUUUUCUAUUUUUCUGUAAAUGUUUGGCAUUAUUAAUUAGGGGCUUUGUUUAGAUUAUUUCCAACAGCCCACACUUAUUUCCAGAAUUAUUUGAGAAUUUAAAAUAUUUUAUAUUGUUUAAAUGCCCACACUCAAAUAGCUAAUGACUUAAUCCAGUGACCUUAUGUGUCCUAGAAAAAUGUGAACCAAUUUUGGCAGAGGUUCUAACCCAAGACAAAAAUGAUGGACAUUUUAGAGGGGCAUUUCAGGUUCAUUGAAAAUAUUUUUAGUAAACCCUAGUUGGUUUUAGAGGGGGAUGGGGGUUCUGUCAUCCCCAUUUCAAGUUUCUGAUGAAAGGAAAACAUGAUGCAACACUCUAAUGCAUGAACUAGCUAGGGUGUGACACUCGUCCACCUCCAUCUUGGCCUCCGCCAGCGUGCUCUUGAGGGCUUCGACCUCAAACAUAUCAACUAUGAGCAUAAUCAUAAAGCUCAGUUGGAUAACAAAUUGGAAUUCUUAUCAUUUCAAGAUACAUUUCGGCAUCGCAUACCUUGCUUUUCCUCCAACUUCCGCUUUAGUUCAGACAGUUUGGCGGCAUGCAAAGUUGACGCUCGCAUUGAAGCCUGUGCAUCAAAAUAAGCAUAUAUAUUAGCUCCGGCAAUGCAUUAUUCGAUCCCUUAUUCGGCCUUCCUUCACGAAUGCCGAACAGAGUCUCAGGGUCUACUAUCUAUAUACAGGUCUUCCUUUUGCAAAUAACCAAAAAUAUAUUACGUCACAUACCUCAAAGCCUGUUAGAAGGCUGGUAUAGGCUUGGUUCAAUCUGCUCUUAGCGGACCGAACCUUUUCAACCACCGUACCCAUAAGGGUAUAGUGUUCCUCCACAAUGGAAGCACUUUGAAGCGCUUCCACCAGAGUGUCUGGUGCCUCCGGAUUGAUAGAGGACGCCAGUGGAGACGGCGCGCCCCCUUCCUUCCAAGAAGGCUACUGGUCUGAUUCCGGGGCCGUAUGGGUGUCACAUCCCUGGUCCUGGUAUGCAGUAGGCUAGCCCUUCAUGUGUGCAUCAUGUUUAACUUUUCAAAUGAACUUAAAAUGGGGGCUGAUCAAACCAUAGCACCAGAUCAAAUCAAAUAGGUUCAACAUAAAAUCAUUUUCAAUGAACCUGAAAUGCCCUUCUAAAAUGUUCAUCAUCUUUGCCUUGGUCUUAAACCUCUGACAAAAAUGGUGCACAAUUUUCUAGGUCAUCCUAAGGUCACUGAAUUAAAUCAUAAGUAUUCGAAUUUGGACAUUUAAAUUCUAUAAAAUAUUUUAAAUGUCCAAGUACUCCUAAACUAAAAUUUUCCAUGUUGGAUAUAUUCUAUACAGUGGACAUGUGCAGUUUAGUGAUUUUUAAAGGGUCUAGGUAUUUUUAGAAAAGCCCUAAAGAUUACAGAAUAAUAGAAAAUUGAAAGUGCAACUAUCCCUAGGUGGUUUUGGUAAUUCAUAACAACAUAUAGCUGAUUGAGCUAAUGCUAUUCCAAGACUAUUAUUUCAGGAAAGCUCAAUGAAUGGCAUGGCAUGGAUGAUGAAAGUGGAUCCCUCAAAAUACUAAGGACAAAGGAUUGGCUCAAGCUCAAAAGCUCAAGACUCUUCAUUUUAUAUUUUACUGAUCCAAGAUCACAUUGAGUCUAUAGGAAAAGCCAAUACUAUCAAGGAGGGAUGAGGUGUUGCUUAAUGAGCCUCUUGCUUCAUGUGCUUUGUGAUAUGCUCCAAAACCCUCAACUACUUUCCCACAUCCACGAAUGACCUAAACCCAAAGCCAAAAUCGGUCACACUGAUUCUUCCUAUCCGGCGCCACCGAUUCCAAAAGUCAUAGCCACUGCCACAAACCCUAAGCAAAUCGGUCUUACCAAUAGGGAUCUCGGUCUCACCGAGAUGGGGUUGUAAUCUCUCUAUUUCCCUUCGUAACAUUUCGGUCUAAACGAAGUGAGCGAUCGGUCCUACCGAGAUUGCAAUGUAAACUCUCUGUUUCCUUUUUGUAACAUUUCGGUCUCACCGAAAAGAGAAAAUCGGUCCCACCGAGUUUACCUGACCAACUCUCUGGAAAGCUUAUUACCAAAUCGGUCUCACCGAGUUUGUGUAAUGGGUCUUACCGAGAUUACGUUAUGCCCUAACCCUAACAGAAUCGGUCUCACCGAGAUGCAUGUCAGUCCCACCGAACAUUACUAACGGUCACUAGGUUUACUAAAUCGGUCCGACCGAGUUUAAUGAUUCGGUCCCACCGAGUUUGGUAAAUUGUGUGUAAUGGUUAGAUUUUGUGUGGAGGCUAUAUAUACCCCUCCACCUCCUCUUCAUUCGUGGAGAGAGCCAUUAGAACGAACCUACACUUCCAACUUACCAUUUCUAAGAGAGAACCACCUACUCAUGUGUUGAGACCAAGAUAUUCCAUUCCUACCAUAUGAAUCUUGAUCUCUAGCCUUCUCAAGUUGCUUUCCACUCAAAUCUUCUUUCCACCAGAUCCAAAACCUAUGAGAGAGAGUUGUGUGUUGGGGAGACUAUCAUUUGAAGCACAAGAGCAAGGAGUUCAUCAUCAACGCACCAUUUGUUACUUCUCGGAGAGUGGUAUCUCCUAGAUUGGCUAGGUGUCACUUGGGAGCCUCCGACAAGAUUGUGGAGUUGAACCAAGGAGUUUGUAUGGGCAAGGAGAUCGCCUACUUCGUGAAGAUCUACUGCUAGUGAGGCAAGUCCUUCGUGGGCUAUGGCCAUGGUGGGAUAGACAAGGUUGCUACUUCGUGGACCCUUUGUGGGUGGAGCCCUCCGUGGACUCGCGCAGCCGUUACCCUUCAUGGGUUGAAGUCUCCAUCAACGUGGAUGUACGAUAGCACCACCUAUCGGAACCACGCCAAAAACAUCCGUGUCUCCAAUUGUGUUUGAAUCCUCCAAACUCUUCCCUUUACUUUCUUGCAAGUUGCAUGCUUUAAUUUCCGCUGCCUAUAUACUCUUUGCAUGCUUGCUUGAAUUGUGUGAUGAUUGCUUGACUUGUCCUAAAGUAGCUAAAAUCUGUCAAACUCUAAAAUUGGGAAAAGGCUAAGUUUUUAUUGGUCAAGUAGUCUAAUCACCCCCCUCUAGACGUACUUCAAGGUCCUACAAGUGGUAUCAGAGCCAGGUUUCCAUUUGCUUUGAUUUCCAUAGCUUUUGGUGGUCAUAGCCUUGGUUUCAUGACCUAGGAGAGUAUGGCGUCUAGCGAGGGAAUUUAUCACCGUAGAGGUCCUUACUUUGAUGGUACUAAUUUUGCUACUUGGAAGCAUAAGAUGAAAAUGCAUAUUCUUGGACAUAACCCCGCCAUUUGGGCAAUUAUUUGUACUGGCUUGCAAGGUGAAUUUUUCUAUGGGAGAGAACCGAACCGUGAAGCUAAUGCGGAAGAACUAAAGAUGCUGCAAUACAACGCUCAAGCAUGCGAUAUCAUCUUCAACGGAUUGUGCCCCGAAGAAUUCAACAAAAUCAGCCGUCUUGAGAAUGCAAAGGAAAUUUGGGAUACUUUGAUUGAUAUGCAUGAAGGUAUCGAGUCCGUCAAGGAAUCCAAGUUGGAUGUGCUCCAAAGUCAGCUUGAUAAGUUCAAAAUGAAGGAUGGUGAAGGUGUCGCUAAAUUGUACUCUAGGCUUGCUCUUAUCACAAAUGAGAUUGCCGGCUUAGGGAGUGAAGAGAUGACCGACAAAUUCAUCAUCGAGAAAAUCCUAAGAGCAUUGGAUGGAAAGUAUGAUACCAUGUGCACGUUGAUUCAAAUGAUGCCAAACUACAAAGAUCUCAAGCCAACAAAAGUCAUUGGAAGAAUUGUUGCUCAUGAGAUGUCACUCAAGGAUAAGGAGGAACUUCACAACAAGUCAAGUGGUGCUUACAAAGCCUCAAGUGAAGCCCCCACAUCAUCAAGUGAGAAACAAACCUUCAAUGAAGAAUUGAGCUUAAUGGUGAAGAACUUCAACAAAUUCUACAAGAGUAGAAGCAAAGAAAGAAGCUCCAAGUCAAGGUCUUACAAUGACAAGAGAUCUUCUAGUCGUGAGCGCAAUUGCUACAAUUGUGGGAGACCCGGACACCAUUCCAAUGAGUGUACGGCACCCUACAAAAGAAGAGAAGAUUCUCCAAGAAGAAGAAGCAAAAGAGAAGAAUCACUACCAAGAGAGAGGAGGAGUAGAGAUGAUCAUUAUGAACGAAGACCCUCACGGAGAAGCAAGGAUUCAGAAAGGAAGGACAAGUCAUCAAGGAGCUACACAAAACGAAGACAUAAAGCUCAUGUUGGUGAAUGGGUUUCCGGCUCCGACUCUGACAAUCACUCUGAGAGAAGCUAUCACUCCGACUCCGAAUAUACUCAAGAUGAAGGUGUUGCCGGUCUAGCACUUGUGUCAACCAACUCCUACAACAUAUUUGAUUCACCAAAUGAAGGUGUUGGAAGAUGCUUCAUGGCCAAAGGUCCAAAGGUAACACAUCCUGAGUAUGUUGAUUUCAAUAGUGAUGAAGAUGACUUGCUUGUGGAUGAUGAUUUACUUGUUGACAACUCUCGUGAUGAAUACUAUGAUGAAACGUUAAUUAAUCAUGCUAAUCAAGAGAAAAUGAAUGACAAUGAUAAGGAGAAGAUUGAGCUUCUAACUAAAGAACUAAACACUCUUAAGUUGGCUCAUGAAACUAUGUUCGAAGAUCAUCAAGAAAUUUUAAGGGCUCCUGAGAAGUUACGCUUUGAAAAGCUCAAUCUUAAGCAAGAGCAUGAGUUCUUAAAAGCAAUCAAUGAUGAUCUCCGCAAGAAGAGUUCUUCUUAUAUUUCCAAGCGUUUACUCUUAUCUACUUACAUGCCUCAAGUCAAGUCUAGUAACAAGUACAAGAAAGAUACUUCCUCUAGUAGUAACAAUAAUAAUAAUGUCAAAUCCAAUAUUGUUGCUUCUAGUAGUUCUCUUGAUUCCACUAAUGAUUCUCUUAGCCAAGUUACACUUGAGCAAGAAAAUAGCUUAUUGAAGGGAAUUAUAGAGAAGGGAGUUUACAAGAGCCUUGCCGGGAGUAAGCAAUUCGAGGAAAUUGUACGCAAGCAAGGAAGGCACCGGAAGAAUCAAGGUGUUGGUUUUGAAUGAAAGUUCAAUGCCAAUGGAGUUGAGUGGGAAGAAGAUCAAUACCCCAAGACAAAUUUUGUUCCUCAACAAGAGAGGUAUGAUCCUACUUCCUUCAAGGGAACAUAAGCUCAAGACGAUCUUCCACCACAAGACCACAAGAACAAAGGCAAGUACAAGCUUCAAGAAGAGAUUGAUGCAUUUGAAGAAGCACCUAAAGCCUCGUUCAAGUGGGUUCCCAAGACUACAUCAAGUUCUACUUUGUCAAGUACAACUACAACUCCAAGGAUUCCCAUCAAGAUGAUGUGGAUCCCGAAGAAGAAGAACUAGAGAGUUCUUGAGGGUGACUCCGCCAACAUUCUUCACUCAUAUCAUUAUGGCAAGAACAAGUGCAAUCAACUUCCACAUCUUGCACUAGUUCAAGGAGUCACAAACCCUCAUGUUGGUAAGGCAAGGGGCAAGGUAACCUAAUCAUUUCAUGGACAUCAUCUUGUGUGUGCAUCACUCUAUGUCUAUGGAUAUUCUUGUUUGUUCCUUGUGGGACUAACCCAUGUAGGUAAGUUGAAAGUGCAACUCACUCCAAAGGAUUGCUCCAAAUGAUCUACAUCAACAUUGAGCAUCUACAUCUUCAACACCUACAUGAAGUCAUCAUCGACAAAACCCAAGGUUAGUUCAUCCCUCUAAGGGGGGAUCUCACAUCUAGGGGGAGCUUAACUCUAAGAAUUGAGUCAAAGCAACCCUAAUGGUGUGAACACAUCAAUGCAUUAUGUAAAAGUGGUAACCCCACUUGAGCUUAAACAAUGAGUAUGACCUAUGAUCAGAUGUUCUCAUUUGACUCCUAAGUCAAUAUACUCAUAUAUAGAUGACCUAGUCAUCGCCAAUUGCUUGAUAGAUGCUAGUAUUGGUCGUGCAUGCUUUGCCACAUAUUUCAUUUGCCAUCUUAUUGUGUGAGCAUGUUGGUGCAUAUUUUAGUCAUUCAAAGACAUCCACUUGUUGUUUUGAUUGUUUGGUUUCUUUUCUUUUUGCCAAGUGGAUGGACAAGAAUGCCUAAGAACCUUCUUUAGCUAUCUAUGCUUUUCUCAUCUCAAACUCUAUUCAUGCUUCAUCACAAAAUUUGAUCAAGUCAGAUUUGAACCACUCUGUGUGAGGAGCACUCGGAGUCCCCGAUUCGUCAUAGACUUAAACUUCCAAAACCUCUUUGUGACUCUCGGUCUGACCGAUUCCUCCAUUUCGGUCCUACCAAGAUCAUCAAGUUGAUCUGAGUUUUCAAUCUUGGUGCAACCGAUUUGAACUUUUCGGUCACAUCGAUUUGCUGUAACUGUACACAGUUAUGCAUCUCGGUGCCACCGAGUUGUUCCACUCGGUCACACCGACAGGGUCAGGCUGUAUAUAGCCACGGGCAAAAUUUUGGAAAUUUCUCCAAAACCCUUUGCCCGCGCAAUAGCUCGCUCUGCCAUCCGAGGUCUCCGGAUCGUCUCCUCGUCGCCAGCAGCCUCCUGUCGCUGGUCUCCGCCGCCGUCAACGGAUUUCGUCCCCGCCGUUGCCUCCGUAGCGAGUCCACCACCAAGUUAGGGUAUGGACUCAAUCUUUGUGCUAUCCACGUCUGAUUCCUAGCAAAUUGUAUUCUUAUUGAUUCUUGCCACGAUUGAGACUCUUCUAUCCAGCCAAAGUAAUCCAUAGAUUAGAUGAGAUUCAAAUUUUUAGGGUUAGGUUUCCACCGAAACCAUCUCGGACCCACCGAGUUGAAAAACUCGGUCUCACCGAUUUGGCUUAUGUCAUUGCACUAGUGACUCUCGGUCUGACCGAGAAUUACUAAUCGGUGCAACCGAUUUAAGGAUUUUGUGAAACCCUAGCAGUCUCGGUGCCACCGAACUGAGACUCGGUCAAUUCGAGAUCAUCAAUUUAGGUUCCAAAACUGCUUCGGUAUCACCGAGUUUGAAAAUCGGUUGAUCCGAAAUGCUUUCUGUGGAAAACUAAAACUGAACUUUUGAAUCAUUCUUUUGCAAACACCUCUGCAUUUUGUGAUGCUCAUCUAUUCUAUCUCAUCUAUAACUCUUCACAGGGUCAGUAGUCAGCUUUUGCAGUAUGUCAGAUCAGAGUGACAGCCAGAACAGGUCAGAAGAGCAGAUGGAUUUGAGUGAGGGCACUAGUCCCUCAACUAUAGAUGAAGGGAGCAGAAGUACUCCUAGCAAUUUGCCUAAGGCUGCUACUAGGCAAAGGAGGAAAAGAACUUCAGAUUCAGAGGAUGAAGAUUACAAAGCUGAGGAAGAUGAGGCUACUUCCAAGAAGGUAGUUCUCAAGAAAGAAUAUGGCUCUGCACAGAGCACUAAACCAGGUCUGAAGAAGAAAGUUCCUGCCAAGAGGACACCAAUGCCAAAGGCCAGAAAGUCCACUCAGGUGCCAGCUCAGACUCAACCCAAAGAGGCACCUGCAAGGAAAGAUACAUCAUCCAAACCUCAGAAAGUUCCUACUGGAGAGACUAUGAAAUUCACAAUUGAGUUAGAGGAUGAUGGGGAUCAAGACAAGAAAAAGAAGAGAGCAAGAACCACAACUGCCAAGGUCCUUGGAAAGCCCUCAAUGAGAAGAGAUUCUGAAGAAGAGGAAGAGGAUGCUACACCAGCACCCAAAGCACCUAAGCUUAUGGGUGAUGCAAUCAGAUCAGGGGCUGCAACAUCUAAGCCCAAGGAAGCACCCAAAGCUGCCUCCAAGGCCAAGCAAGUUCCAAAGAGGAAUACUAGGAGUAUUCCAGCUGUUGAGAAGAACAAGGCCCCAAUGCCCAAUGUUGCUGAAGAAGAAGAUGAAGAAGGUCAGGUAUUAAGAAAGCUCAAGCACAAGAUACAAGACACCAGCACCCAAAGCACCUAAGAUGUGGCUGAGGACAUGAGAAUCAGGAAGGAUUCAGGGCUGAGACUGUGGAGGAUGGAAGAUCCAUAUGCUUCAAGAAGAAGAACUGUUGUUUACUACAGGUUCCAUACAACGGAACAACAGGACUUCUAUGAAACAAUUCUGUUGGAUAAGAAGCCCAUAGUUUGUGACAUGAGGUGGGUCGACUGGACCUACAUCAAGGACAAUGAGCAGCACUAUCCUGGAGUGCAAGAAAGCUUUGUUGCUUGUGGAUUUGCUGAUUAUGUUGGAAAGAAGUUCACCCACUAGAAUGAUGAGCUUAUCAAGCAGUUCUACUCCACAGCACAUUUUUACCAGAUGGUAGAAUUGUUUGAAGGUACAAGGUACCAAUCCACUGUUGAAGAAUGGGCAAGUCUGAUAAAUGCCCCCACGGAAAAUGAGGAUGACCUGGACAUUUAUGCAAAGAUGAAGAUGGAUCAUAAUUCAAUGGCUCACAUGUACAAGGAAAUCCCAGACAACGCAGUAGAGACUCACAAGUUUGGAUCAGUUCACUUUCUGCUGUCAGGGUUUCCAACCAUCAAUUGGAUCCUGAGGCACACUUUGUUGCCUAAGUAUGGUGACCAUAACAUGAUCAGAGGGCAUGCCAUCAACAUGCUGCAUGUGUUUGAUGUGCCACAGAAGUUCAAAGUCUUGAGCCUGAUGAUUGAAACAAUCAAGAGGACUGCAACAGAUCAGAAGAGGAGCUGUGGAUAUGCACCUCAGAUUCAGGAAUUGAUCAACUCAAAGAUGGGCACAGGGAGAUAUCAAUUGGAUAAGGAACAUUUUCCACUUUAUCCAGACUUUGAGGACAAUGAGGUUGUCAUGAAUGAAAAUGAUCCACAAUCAGUUCAAGCUCAGGAGAAGAAGGAGAAGGCAAAGAAGUAGAAGGCUGCCAAGAUGCCAACUCAAGAGGAGGCAUCUGAAUAUUUCUUGAAGACCAAACAGGAGUAGCUUGGUUACUUGAUAGCAUCUACACUGAGGAUUGAGAAGGGACUAGCCACCCUCACUCAGAAUCAGGAGAGCCUUGAGAGAAUCAUGGAACUCAAGUUUCAUGACCUUGAUGUUAAAGUAACUGAGAUCCAGUAAGUUGUAGAGCAGCUGCAGGAUGAUAUGCAGGAGAGGCAGGGCAAGACUACCACAAAUGUGUUUGCCAGAGCACCAACUUUAGCACCAGCCACAGCACCUUCAGUUCCGUUGCAACCAGCUCCAGCAUCCACUCCAGCACCCUCUACUUCAACUGAAGCCUUCGUCCUUGGAGUUAUCAGGACACCACCACCAGAAGAUCAAGCCUGAGAGAUGAUCUAGCACUAUGCAUUUUCUAUGAACUUUUUGGUAACUUGUUGCCAAAGGGGGAGAAAAAUGUAUAGAUCAUAGGCUUCGAGAGAGAGUGUGUUGCUUUUAUUCUCUCUUGCUUUAUUUGGUGGUCUUUCAAACUUUGUUUGCUUUUGGUUCAGAUACUAUGCUUGUGAGACAUUGAUGAUCAUGUGUUUGAUCAUAAGCUACACUUAUGCAUGUUUGAUGAAAAUAUCCUAUCUAUCUUAUGUGAUCAUUCACUAUGCAUGGUGAUGAGUUCAUGUAUUCAAUGUUUAUUAUUUUGAGCGCUCCACCAAGAUGUAUGUGACAUGGAAGAGUAACCCAUGAGCCUAAUUCAUUGUGCAUUUGCAGUCCAAAGGAAAUCUUAAACUAUGCACAAAUUUAGGGGGAGCUCUUGCUUAUCACAUACUUCUCAAAGCGACGAUGUUAUUCAAUCUUAUUAUAAUUUGUCGAAGCUUUGAACUAUAUGUUGUCAUCAAUUACCAAAAAGGGGGAGAUUGAAAGUGCAACUAUCCCUAGGUGGUUUUGGUAAUUCAUAACAACAUGUAGCUCAUUGAGCUAAUGCUAUUCCAAGACUAUUAUUUCAGGAAAGCUCAAUGAAUGGCAUGGCAUGGAUGAUGAAAGUGGAUCCCUCAAAAUACUAAGGACAAAGGAUUGGCUCAAGCUCAAAAGCUCAAGACUCUUCAUUUUAUAUUUUAGUGAUCCAAGAUCACAUUGAGUCUAUAGGAAAAGCCAAUACUAUCAAGGAGGGAUGAGGUGUUGCUUAACGAGCCUCUUGCUUCAUGUGCUUUGUGAUAUGCUCCAAAACCCUCAACUACUUUCCCACAUCCACAAAUGACCUAAACCCAAAGCCAAAAUCGGUCACACAUGUAAUUGUACCCCCUGAGGUUUUGGUAAUAUAUAUGCAGUAGGAGCCUUUCCUACUGUCUUCACAGUCAAAAAAAAUCGGUCACACCGAUUCUUCCUAUCCGGCGCCACCAAUUCCAAAGGUCAUAGCCACUGCCACAAACCCUAAGCAAAUCGGUCUUACCGAUAGGGAUCUCGGUCUCACCGAGAUGGGGUUGUAAUCUCUCUGUUUCCCUUCGUAAUGUUUCGGUCUAACCAAAGUGAGCGAUCGGUCCCACCGAGAUUGCAAUGUAAACUCUCUGUUUCCUUUUUGUAACAUUUCGGUCUCACCGAAAAGAGCAAAUCGGUCCCACCGAGUUUACCUGGCCAACUCUCUGGAAAGCUUAUUACCAAAUCGGUCUCACCGAGUUUUUGUAACCGGUCUUACCGAGAUUACGUUAUGCCCUAACCCUAACCGAAUCAGUCUCACCGAGAUGCAUGUCAGUCCCACCAAAAAUCACUAACGGUCACUAGGUUUACUCAAUUGGUCCGACCGAGUUUGGUAAAUUGUGUGUAACGGUUAGAUUUUGUGUGGAGGCUAUAUAUACCCCUCCACCUCCUCUUCAUUCGUGGAGAGAGCCAUCAGAACGAACCUACACUUCCAACUUACCAUUUCUGAGAGAGAACCACCUACUCAUGUGUUGAGACCAAGAUAUUCCAUUCCUACCAUAUGAAUCUUGAUCUCUCGGCUUCCCAAGUUGCUUUCCACUCAAAUCUUCUUUCCACUAGAUCCAAAACCUAUGAGAGAGAGUUGAGUGUUGGGGAGACUAUCAUUUGAAGCACAAGAGCAAGGAGUUCAUCAUCAACGCACCAUUUGUUACUUCUUGGAGAGUGGUGUCUUGUAGGUUGGCUAGGGGUCACUUGGGAGCCUCCGACAAGAUUGUGGAGUUGAACCAAGGAGUUUGUAAGGGUAAGGAGAUUGCCUACUUCGUGAAGAUCUACCGCUAGUGAGGCAAGUCCUUCGUGGGCGAUGGCCAUGGUGGGAUAGACAAGGUUGCUACUUCGUGGACCCUUCGUGGGUGGAUCCCACCGUGGACUCGUGCAGCCGUUACCCUUCGUGGGUUGAAGUCUCCAUCAACAUGGAUGUACGAUAGCACCACCUAUCGGAACCACGCCAAAAACAUUUGUGUCUCCAAUUGUGUUUGAAUCCUCCAAACUCUUCCCUUUACUUUCUUGCAAGUUGCAUGCUUUAAUUUCCGCUGCCUAUAUACUCUUUGCAUGCUUGCUUGAAUUGUGUGAUGAUUGCUUGACUUGUCUUAAAGUAGCUAAAAUCUGCCAAACUCUAAAAUUGGGAAAAGGCUAAGUUUUUAUUGGUGAAGUAGUCUAAUCACCCCCCCCCCCUUUAGACAUACUUCAAGGUCCUACAAAAACAGAAAUUAAAAUAGAGAAACCAGAGAGAGAGAGAGAACUUACCUGGCGCUCACCUGGCAGCCCAGCUAGCCUAGCACUGUAGCUGAGGCCCAGCCCACCAGGGCGAAGCGGUCGUCUUCAUCCUCUGCCAGUAUGCAGAGGCGUGUCGACGCCAGCGCGCCCGAGGCCUCCACCUCCUCCCUCCCAGCCUGCCUGGCUCCUCCUCGAUGCACCAGGCGACGCCAUGCAGCCCCUGGCCCCCUCUCACUCUCUCCCGUUCCUCUCCCCUCCUCUGCUUUCUCUCCCUAUCGGUGUCAAAACCGGCGGAUCUCGGGUAGGGGGUCCCGAACUGUGCGUCUAGGCGGAUGGUAACAUGAGACAAGGGACACGAAGUUUUUACCCAGGUUCGGGACCUCUCGAUGGAGGUAAAACCAUACUCCUGCUUGAUUGAUAUUGAUGAUAUGGGUAGUACAAGAGUAGAUCUACCACGAGAUCAAGGAGACUAAACCCUAGAAGCUAGCCUAUGGUAUGAUUGUUGUUCGUCCUAUGGACUAAAACCCUCUGGUUUAUAUAGACACCGGAGAGGGCUAGGGUUACACAGAGUCGGUUACAAUGGUAGGAGAUCUACAUAUCAGUAUUGCCAAGAUUGCCUUCCACGCCAAGGAAAGUCCUAUCCGGACACGGGACAAAGUCUUCAAUCUUGUAUGUUCAUAGUCUUGGAGUCCGACCAAUGAUGAUAGUUCGGCUAUCCGGACACCCCCUAGUCCAGGACUCCCUCAGUAGCCCCUGAACCAGGCUUCAAUGACGACGAGUCCGGCGCGCAUGUUCUCUUCGGCAUUGCAAGGCGGGUUCCUCCUCUGAAUAAUUCAUAGAAUAUUUUGAACACCAGGAUAGUGUCCGGCUCUGCAAAAUAAAUUCCACAUACCACCGUAGAGAGAAUAAUAUUUACACAAGUUCAAUCUGCUGACGUAUUUCGUGAUAUGACAUCACCCCACGGCCAAGCCUUUACUCGAAUCGUUUUUAUUGUUCCACCUCAGCGCGUUUAGCGAAGUGGUUUCCUUGGCACGUCUUGUCAAAGCAGAGAUCGUGUCCCCUUAUUCCGGGAUUCUCAUCAAUACGGACGUGGGUAACCCAACCGCGCCCGUGGGCACGCCCCCUCCAUCGAAGGUGAGUCCCAAACAGUUACGGGGACGGCUCUUGGUAUUCAACCCCUUUAUAACGAGACCAAGGCCUGUUCCUUUUCUUCAAUCUUCAAUAGAAUCCGUCCCUCGCCCCGAGUUCCAACACCCAAGGCUCCAGAUUCAGGCACUCCGGACCUUCGACAAUGUCCGGCUCCGACCAACAGGGUCGGUGGAUGCCCUCUUCCGUCUCGGAAGAAGAUGUGCUAAAGUUGAGAGACGCCAGGUAUAUAACCGGUGAAAUUUCGCAUAGGCUGCCCGUCCAAGGGCAAGUCAUUCCCACUCCCGAGCCUGGUGAGAGCAUGGUGUUCGUGUCUCACUUCCGUCAGGGUUUAGGCUUCCUGAUGGAUCCCUUCGUGAGAGGGCUCAUGUUUUAUUAUGGGCUGGAAUUCCAUGACAUGGAUCCGGAGUCCAUCCUCCACAUCUCAUCGUUCAUUGUUUUAUGCGAAGCCUUCCUCCACACCACUCCUCACUUCAGAUUGUGGCUCAAGACCUUCAACGUGGAGCCGAAGAUGAUCGAGGAGCGGCAGGCAGAGUGCGGAGGGGCAGUUAUAAGCAAGAGCGCUGACGCUCCAUGGUCUGAGGGCCUUUUUCAGAAGGAGCUUGGUUUGUGGCAGCAGGAGUGGUUCUACAUUACCGCUCCCAGGGGCACAAGAUGGGUGGCGCCGCCUGCCUUUCGCUCGGGCCCUCCACAACGGCUGGCGUCAUGGGUAAACAAAGGGCUUGACUGGGGGCCGUCUAAGGACGUGCCAUUAUUGCAGGGCCGCAUUCGAGACCUCCAAGAGAGGGAGAUCAAUCUGGUUGUAGUGGCGCAGGUCAUGCUGAUUCGGCGUCUUCUGCCCUGCAAACGUCGCCCCUCCGCCUAUGGGAAUUCAAUCCGGAGGGACCGCGAGCUCUCCAACACUUCAUGGGUGCGACGCUCGUGGAGAUGUAUAAAUUGUUCUUCGGAUCACAAGAGAUGUGUCCGGACCUGACCGAGGACGCAGGCCUGAGCUGCAAUCAUCCGGAUACUCAAGUAAGUAGUCCUGUGCCCGGACAUGCUGUCCAUACAUUUAUCAUAAAGCUUACUUUUUAACCAGCUAUCCCUUGAACAGGAGUGGAUAGCAAAAGCAAAGCUGAUACGGUGUCCGGCCCCCCUCCUUGAGACCACGCCGGAUCCUGUGUUAAUCAAGAUGCUGGAGGCUGGGCCUUCGGAAGGGGGCGAAGGGGAAAACAGGAAAACUACCGCCUCCGUUAAGGAGGCUUUUAAGAAAGGGGGGAUCGAGAAUCCCUCAUUCCAGGGGGAGAAGAGGACCGCUUCUGAAGAUCCAGAGGCCAAGGCCUCAAAGCGGGGAAGAAAUCCUCACCAGAGGGUUCUGCACCGGGAGAAGCCCCGGCCGCACUAUUUCCCCAAGGGAAUCAGCCCUCCGGCGAGCCGUAAGUAGAAAGGGGAGUUUUGUAAUAAGGGACAUCCCUGUUUUUAUUUCUGAAGAUAACCGAAGUUUUACCUUGUAGUUCGGAUCUCAGCCCUUCUCAGCAGAGCUCAUCUUCGGGGGAUCUUCGUCCGGAGAUGAUGGAGAGCGAAAAGCCCCCAUCUGCCGCACCGUCAGGUGGGGCGGACGACCCUGAGGUGUCGUCGCGGAGGGUCUCCCUGAGUCCGGCAGGGCCGGAGAGCCAACUAGUGUACGGCCGGAGGAGCUGAAGGAUCUGCUCGGGCGGGUGUCUAUCUCAGAAGAUCACCGUACAUUAAUGAGUACAGUGAUUGAAAGGAUUUCAUCCGCUGAGAGCGGGUUGCACGAGGCCGUCAGAAGUAUACUGACGGGGUUUGAGGUACGCGAAAAUGAUAUAUCUUUUGACAGUUUUGCACAUAGAAUGCGCCCUAUAUAGAUAGUAGCCCCUGAGACUCGAUACGUUGUCAAAAGGCGAAAGCGUGUCGAGGAUCAUAAUCCCAGUUAUAAGAUGUCGCCCUUCCUAUUCAGGUGGCGGAGCGUUCGGUGGCCAGCCAGACUGAUAGAGUUGUCGAACUGAAGCGGCAACUUGACGUUGCGGAUGCGGACAUCGUGCUGGUCAAUAAACGACUUGACGAGUCACAAGGUAUGUGGCUUCUCCGCGGACACCUUGUAAGGGAGCUUGACGCCCGUGCCUUACAACAUCUAUGCUUAAUGCAGAUGGCGCCGCUGCAAUGGAAGACCUUCGGGUGGAGCUUGCCCGAGCCAAGGAGCAAGCCAGAAAAAGUAAUGCGGCUGCCUUGAAGGCGGCCGAAGAGCUAAAAGCCGAACAGGCUGCUCACUGCCGAAGCAGGGAGGAAAUGGCCGAAAUGGCCGUGAAGCUGAAGGAUGCUACCGACUGCUAUGAGUUUCUCGAAGGAGAACGCCGAGCGGAGAAAGAGGACCUGAAGAAGGCCACCGUUGAAGCCAAGGAUGCCCGCUCCAUGGUGAGAGCUAUAAGGGAGGAGCUACGCCAGGCCGGUGAUAUUGCGGCUGGAAAGCCCUUUCUGCUGCGUAGGAAGUUCACGGAUUCGAAGUGUGCUCAGUUGGGCCAGUUGUGGGGUGCGGAGGAUGCUUAUCUGAAUUUGGCGGCGAGUGCGGCGGACGUAGUCAUGCACUUCCGAGGCCAAAAGGAUCACGGAAUGGAAGAGCUUUUUUGGUCUCAAUUCCAUAGUCCGGAGCGUCCACUUCCAUUAACCGAUCGGUUGGCUGAGUGGGCUGAGCUGAAUAGGUUGUCCGGACUUGCGCGGAAGGAUGUUGGGGCUCAUCUGUGGCCGAAAAGGCCCAAGCCGAAGAGUUAUUUUGGCUUGGUGCAGCAGUUCCUUGAUGCGGUGCCGCAUAUCAAGGCGAUGAAGCGGUCGGCAUGCAUAGAGGGUGCGCGGAUGGCUCUCGCCCGUGUCAAAACAUACUGGGCAGAGAUGGAGGCCACCGACGUUGCAUCCCGGGAUUCGGACAGAAGCCGAUUACCCGCCGAGCACUAUUUUGGGGAAGCCCUGCAGGGCGCUCAUUUAAUAGAGUCGAAGUGCUCGAAAAACGUUAUGUUCAAGUAACAUGUAUGAGUUGUGAGACCAUGUCUCAAAUAUAAUAUAAGGGCUUUUUAUACUUGGGCGUUCAAGUGUGGAAAUACCUCCUGUGCGGCCGUUAACGUAUAUGUGUAUAUAACCUGAAAGAUGGCAGUCUUCGGCUUUAGCCCCCACGCACAUAGUGCGGGGGUGUUUGCAAAAAAAAGUGCAUUUUCACACUUAAUCCAACGUCUUGGUCCUAUGAAGGAGGUGAUAGCGUAGCAAACUAGGCAACCGGACUAUAAUGCUUUAUCACUUUCACUUAGCCAUAGGAGUUCGAUGGUGGGGCUACUAUAUAGCCCCUAGUUUCGGGGCGCGUAUGUGCCUGACCGGGAAACGGUCCUUCGUUAAAGCGGAGGAAUUCUAAACAUUCCAGUGGUUGAUCGAGUGGUUGACCAGUCUCUCGCUCUAUCAUGACAGUCAGUUUUCGGCUUUCUCUACUGAGGUGCUCACCCGGGUGAACCGGGGCACAAUCGCAGUAGUUCUCCUGGUGUCGCGUUAGCCGAUAGAGCGGAAUGUAAGGCAGCAAAACACAGGAGCCGGGCAAACCCAACAUUUGACCAAAGACAUGAUUCAGAGCUGAUGCAUAUAAGGCCUAACUCAAGACGCCGAACACUCCCUAAGGUAUUCGGUCUUUAUCAAAACGGGCAGAACAAUGCCCUAAGCCCCUAGUGUCCAGGUACGCGCAAAAAUUUCUGACGCGGCCGAUGCCAAAAUGCCAGAUUCCUCUUUGGUUAUAGCAAAAAACCGGGGGAUGUGAAUCAACAAGAGACAGUAAAAAAGGUUUACGCAGGGUCUUAAUCUGAAAAGAAUCCUUGCAUCGGGUCCCUACUGCACGUCUGCGCCUGUGUCUCCGUUGUGCCGUAUCCUGGGCGGGUGUCGCACUGUGUUCAUCUGUGAAAGAGAAGAACUUAGUUGGAAAAGAGUUCAUGCGAAAGAUGUAUUUUGAAAUAAAUAGAGUAUGAUUCAAAGAAUGAAUAAAAUUGAGCUUUAUUGGCUCUUAUUGUACAUGCGUGCAACCCCUUGUAAAGGGGUACGCGGCUGGUAAGCCCCUUGUUUGUAUAUACCGGACUCGCCUAACCGUGUUCGGGGUCUGAAUGACCUGUUUAGGGGCUUUGAUCAGCAAAUCCGGAUUAGUGUGUGGCUGUCAAGGCAGUCUUACGCUCUUCCUUAGUCGAGGAACACUCAAAGUUACCCUUUAAUGAGAUGAUGCCGCGUGGACCAGGCAUUUUAAGUGUAAGAGACGCGUAAUGCGGUAUUGCGUUGAAGCGGGCGGAAGCUUCACGUCCCAACAGUGCUUGAUAGCGACUUUUAAAUGGGGCAAUGUGGAAGACUAACUUUUCGCGACGGAAGUUGUCGGAUGAGCCAAACACGACUUCUAGUAGUAGAUAGCCCGUACAAUGGGCAUAUGGGCCUGGCAUCAGUCCUUUAAAGGAAGUGUUGCUAUGGCGAAUUUUGGUUGGGUCUAUCCCCAUUCUGCGGAUUGUGUCCUGGUAUAACAGGUUUAGGUCACUGCUGCCGUCCAUUAGGACUUGUGUAAAUUGCAGUCCAUUGAUAGGAUCUAAUAUCAAAGCAGUCCAUCCUGCGUUCUGGAUACUUCUGGAGUAGUCCUGAUGGUCGAAGGUGAUUGGUUUUGAUAACCAGUGUUGGGACUCCGUUGGGGUAGACCGUGCGGUGCGUACUUUAGUGGGUGCCGCUCUAUUUUUCCCUUUUAUCAUUUGAAGUUAAUUCACUGUUUUGACCUCUGGUGGGAAAUUCUUUUGUUUUCCGGUUCUCUGCUUGUGGGGUUCAUCAUCGUCCUCACUUGGUGUGUCGAGCCCCUUGUGUUCGGCGUUAAGUCGGCCAGACUGCUUGAAGACCCAACAAUCUCUGUGGGUAUGGUUUGCAGGCUUCCCGGGGGUACUGUGAAUCUCGGGUAGGGGGUCCCGAACUGUGCUUCUAGGCGGAUGGUAACAGGAGACAAGGGACACGAUGUUUUUACCCAAGUUCGGGCCCUCUCGAUGGAGGUAAAACCCUACUUCUACUUGAUUGAUAUUGAUGAUAUGGGUAGUACAAGAGUAGAUCUACCACGAGAUCAAGGAGGCUAAACCCUAGAAGCUAGCCUAUGGUAUGAUUGUUGUUCAUCCCAUGGACUAAAACCCUCCAGUUUAUAUAGACACCAGAGAGGGCUAGGGUUACACAGAGUCGGUUACAAUGGUAGGAGAUCUACAUAUCCGUAUUGCCAAGCUUGCCUUCCACGCCAAGGAAAGUCCUAUUCGGACACGGGACGAAGUCUUCAAUCUUGUAUCUUCAUAGUCUUGGUGUCCGGCCAAUGAUGAUAGUUCGGCUAUCCGGACACCCCUAGUCCAGGACUCCCUCACUCCCUCUCGCGCCCGAGAGCAACCGCCGACGCCGUUCGCCACCACCGCAGCCACCGCCAUCCCCUCGACCUCCCGACGUGUUCAGGAGCUCUGCCUUUACCACCUCCCCCUCCUCAUCGAGCAACACACCGCGGGAGCCCCUGGAAUGCCGCCAUCGCCGUCGUCUUCAACCUCCAGCACCUGAGAUCGCCGGCAAUGCCACGUCACCGUCCGGCCUCCCUCGAGCUCGCAGAUGCCUCCAAACGACGCGGGGUGAGCCCCUCUUUGUUUCGCCCCUAUCCCCGUCGCCCCGCACGUUCUCUAGCGCUAACACCGCCGUGCCUGAAUCUCGCCGCCGCCGUGCCAUGUCGUUGCUGCGGCCAGAGCUGCCUCGCCCGCUUUUGAGCGUGUCGCCGUUCUCACCGUGCUCUCAGGAGCCGAACGCAUGCACCAGCUCCUCCUGCCGUGCUCCCUAACACUGACUCCGAGCUCACCCGAGCUCUGGCGACCGCCAAGGUCAUCGCCGGCGACAACUCCGGCCACCCCAGGCCCAACUGCCACCAUCACCCGAUGCGGACGUGCGUUCGCAUCACGUAGAUGCCUCCGCCGGCCGUUUGGUCGCCGGAGACACAAACCCGAGGCUCGCCACCGCGGCUGGCCUCGCCGGCGUCAAGCCACCGAUGGGUUUGACCCCGCUGACCCGGGGUUGACCUUGUUUGACCCCCCCCCCCAGGGUCGCUGACAAGUGGGCCUAGGGCCCCAGCUAAUCCUAGUUUAGUUUUUAAUUAAGUCUAAUUACUCCACUGACAUUUUUAGUUAGUAGUAGUUUAACACUAAUUAAUUUAGAUUAGUUAGUUAGUCACUGACGUGUGGACCCCACACGUCAGGUUUGACCUGGACCCGGCUCCGUUGACCCGCUCACGUCACACUGACAUCAGGCUGACGCAGUAAAUGAUUUUUUGGAUUUAUUCUUUUAGGAAAUUCCAGAAAAUGGUCAAAACUUCUAAAAAUCAUAGAAAUUCAACCGUAACUCCAAAUGAAAUAAUUUAUAUAUGAAAAAUUAUCAGAAAAAUCCAAUCUAUCCAUCUGUACUAUUUUCAUGCAUGUUAGAACAACUUAUGACUACUGUUUAGGACAAUUCAAUUAAAUGGCAUUUAAAUAACCACAUGUGGAGUUUGAAUUUGAAUCUUGGAUUCAAACCAACUUCAUUUAAUCUGGUUUUAGUUGCAUUAGUACAAACCACAGCAUAUUGCCAUGUCACAUUCAUGCAUCAUAUUGUUACAUUGCAUUGAUUGUGUUUCUUCUUUGUUUGUCGGUGCUUGUCCCCUCUUAGUAGACGUGUACCGACGAUGUGAUCGAUGACACCGAUGAAGAACUAUAUUAUCUUCAGAAGUGCCAGGCAAGCAAAACCCCCUUGUUCAUUCCGAUACAAUCCCACUCUCUCGAUCCUGCUCUCUUUUACUGCAUUAGGACAACAAUGAUUCAUCUGUUACUUGCUGCGGUAGUUGAACCCCCCUUAUCCUCUGCAUGACCUGUCAUUGCCACAGUAAAUAGAUGAAACCCACUAGCAUGAGUAGGAGUUGUUUGAGCCCCGAUGUGCCUACUCAUUCAUGCUUGUUUGUCAUGCCUGGUACUGCUUAGAGUUGAGUCAGGUCUGAUUCAUCGGGGAUGAAUUGGAAAGUGGUGAACAUGUCCUACUGUUGAGAGCUAGGUGUGUGAACACGAUUUGGUAAAGGUAGCGGUGAGAGGCCAUGUAGGAGUACAUGGUGGGUUGUCUCAUUGAAACCGUCCUUAGGAACUGAGUUUUGUGUUUGUAAUCCAUGAACAGCUACUACCACACAUUGGGAUCCUUAAUUGACUCUCUCGACUUAUUAAUCAACCUGAUCUCUAUCCAGGAGUUGCAACUAGUUUCUGGUGUUUGUAGGUAGUGUUAGUAGUCUACCAAGUGGCACCCGGUACAGGUGGGCUUGGGACGGACUAGGCACCGUGGCACGGUGUACCAAGCGUAGAUCCACCCGUCGAGGUGGGCUUGGGAACCCUGCUCACAUCGUUUGGGGCCGUGAGCGACACCCCGGCCGGAUCUCCUUGCGGAUGGAACCCGAAUAGGCGAUAAACCUGGACGAGAGACUUGUGUGGUUAGUCAGGUCGUGGCCGACUCCCUCGCCAGGCUUCCGCUUGAAGGUUGCCGAGAUACACGAGGUGUACAUGGCGGUAAGUGGCGAGAGCGUGUGUGAAGAAGUACACCCCUGCAGGGAUAAUAUGAUCUAUUCGAAUAGCCGUGUACGCGGUAAAGGACUUCUGGGUUGCCUGUACAUUUCAUAGACAAGUGAAAGUGGAUACUCUAAAAUACGCAAGAUAAGCGUGAGUGCUAUGGAUGGCGUUCUCAUAGGGAGACGGGAGCGGAUCCAUAGUGGUGUAUUGAUAUGGUGAAUAUGUGGACUCGUGUGCGCGACCUCAAAAGAGUUACUUGCAGUCGUAGUUUAGGAUAGCCACUGAGUCAAAGCUGUCUUGCUGCAGUUAAACCCCACCAUCCCCUUUGUUGAUAAUGAUGCAUAUGUAGUUAGUUCUGAUGUAAUUCUUGUUGGGUACAUUUGUACUCAUGUUUGCCUAUUUUAUGUUUUUGCAGAGAGACUUCAGUCUCACUAGUAGUUCCGCGUGAACUUCGACGUUUAGCUUGUUACCUCAGCUACGAUCUUGUGCCCUCGGCAGGAUCUGGUAGUUAGUCAGGCUUCUCAGCCUUUUUCAUUUGUAGCUGUCUGUACUCAGACAUGUUAAGCUUCCGCAUGUGCUUUGACUUGUAUGCUCUGAAUGUUGGGUCGUGAGACCCAUGUUUGUAAUAUCUCGCUCCUCGGAGCCUAUUGAAUAAAAUACUUGAGUUGUAGAGUCAUGUUGUGAUGCCAUGCUGUAUUUGCACAUAUCGAGCAUAUUGUGUGUAUGCUAUUGAAAUGCUUGGUAUGUGUGGGAUCUGACUAUCUAGGUUUAUCCUUAGUAGCCUCUCUUACCGGGAAAUGUCUCCUAGUGCUUCCACUGAGCCAUGGUAGCUUGCUACUGCUCCGGAACACUUAGGCUGGCCAGCAUGUGUCCUUCUUCGUUCAUGUGUCUGUCCCUUCGGGGAAAUGUCACGCGGUGAAUACCGGAGUCCUAUUAGCCCGCUAGAGCCCAGUUCACCGGAGUCCUGCUAGCCUAGUGCUACAGCCUGGAUUCACUCGUUGAUGACCGACACAUUCGAUGCUGGGUCAUGGAUGCCUGUCCCUGUAAGUCUGUGCCACUUUGGGUUUACGACUAGCCAUGUCAGCCCGGGCUCCUUAUCAUAUGGAUGCUAGGGACACUAUCAUAUACGUGUGCCAAAAGGCGCAAACGGUCCCGGGCAAAGGUAAGGCGACACCUGUGGGGAUACCGUGCGUGAGGCCGCAAAGUGAUAUGAGGUGUUACAUGCUAGAUCGAUGUUGCAUUCAGUCGGGGUCCUGACAGCUUUGGUAUCAGAGCUUGACUGUCUGUAGGAUUACCAAGCCAAACUGGUCGAAGUUGAGUCUAGAAAUUCUUUAGUUAUAUAAGGGAAUUGAUUGUGGGAUGGAACGUAAGGCUCUUUUUACUCCUAACACUACUAGGGAAAAGGCUAUACACAGAAUCUUAGCAGCAGCGAGGGUUAAAAACCCUCGCUACUGCUACUUACUAGCAGCGCAGGUUUUUAAACCUCGCUACUACUAAGUUGAUAGCAGCAGCGCGGGUUUGUAACCCUCGCUACUACUAAGCGGUCUCUACCGUGCCCCCCGGGAUAUGCCAUAGUAGUAGUGAGGGUUUUUAACCCUCGCUACUACUAAGUUGAUACCAGUAGCGCGGGUUUUUAACCCUCGCUACUACUAACCCGCGCUACUGCUAUCAACUUAGUAGUAGCGUGGGUUAAAAACCCGCGCUACUGCUAAUCGUCUGUCAUAGNNNNNNNNNNNNNNNNNNNNNNNNNNNNNNNNNNNNNNNNNNNNNNNNNNNNNNNNNNNNNNNNNNNNNNNNNNNNNNNNNNNNNNNNNNNNNNNNNNNNNNNNNNNNNNNNNNNNNNNNNNNNNNNNNNNNNNNNNNNNNNNNNNNNNNNNNNNNNNNNNNNNNNNNNNNNNNNNNNNNNNNNNNNNNNNNNNNNNNNNNNNNNNNNNNNNNNNNNNNNNNNNNNNNNNNNNNNNNNNNNNNNNNNNNNNNNNNNNNNNNNNNNNNNNNNNNNNNNNNNNNNNNNNNNNNNNNNNNNNNNNNNNNNNNNNNNNNNNNNNNNNNNNNNNNNNNNGGACCGCCUUUUCAGUUUUUAAAAAAGUAAAAGAAAAUGAUAAAAAUGUCAAAAAAAUAAAAGAAAAUAAGUUUCCCAUGUGAUAUGUGGUCUAGUUGUUGGGAAAAUUUAUAAAUACGAAUUUCGACUUUAUUUGCAAAAUCUCUCUGGAAAUUUGUAAAAUGGCCAUAACUUUUGCAUACGAACUCGGAUGAAAAAGUUUUUUAUAUGAAAAAGCAUCUACUCGAAAAGUUACAUCCGAAUUUAACUGGGGGAACCCCGUUAAACAUUUUUUAAAUCCUCAAAAGCCUAACAGAAAAAAGUUACGGGGCUUUUAAGAUUUGGAGGCAAAAAAAUUCAAAAAAAAUCAGUUUUUUAAUUUUUGUUAAAUCUGGUGAAAGUAUGGUCAAACUAAUUAUACAAGAAUUUUAGUGUUACUAAAUAAUUAUUUUAUUUUUUUUGAAUUUUGGUCAAAUCUGGUCAAACUAUGGUCAAAUCUGGUCAAACUAAUGUCAAAUCUAGUCAAACUGUGGUCAAACUAAUUAUUCAAGAAAUAUUAGUGUUACUAAUUUUUUAUAACAAUAGUUUCAAACUCAAACAGUGAAAUGUGUGACUUCAUGCUCAAACUAAAUUCCUGAGGUUAAUAGGAUUGACAUCUUACUAUUGUCAGGAACACAACAAGUGCAGACUUGGAAACGAGGGAGAAUAGAACCCGGAAGUUAAGCGUGCUCAGGCUGGAGUAGUGAGAGGGAUGGGUGACCGUCCGGGAAGUUAGAUGAUUUGGAAUGAUGAGGGGUGAUUAGAGAUUAAAUUGAGCAGCGAUGAGGGGUGAUUAGAGAUUUGAGUUAAAAUAAUUCAGAAAUUUGAAAAUUUCGAAAAAAAAUCAAAAAAUUUUUUUGAAAAAAUUCAAUUUUUUUUGGAGAUUACAGGUUAGUAGUAGCGCGGGUUUUUACCCACUCUACUGCUAUACGUUAGCUGUAGCGCGGGUGCCACCCGCGCUACUGCUAUAAGUUAGCUGUAGCGCCUUAUUAGUAGCGCGGGUACCCGCGCUGCUGAUAGGCCUAAAACCCGCGCUGCUGCUAGGCUUUUCCCUAGUAGUGUUAACCUUAUGUCCUUCUGAUCUGAGUCACCCUCUUCUUCUAUACGGGGUUAAGAACUAGGCCUUCUCUUCUUUCUAUCAGGAUCACGUGUUACUAAUCCGUAGACUUAUAGGAUUGUUGGUUUCAAGCCUCAGUUAAGUUCCUACUACUUCCAUAUGUUAAUUGUUGAUCUCGAAACCUUGAUAUUGUGCUUCUGAGUGGCGAUGCCACCAUUUUUGUAGCAUGUCUAAAUUCUUUUGAGCAUUUACAGCCGUUAUGCUGUCCGAGUCAUCCCAGGUUCUAAAUAGUCUGAUGCAUUUGCAAAUCCCUUCUUACCGUUCCGAUGUUCCUUUGGCCAGAUUAACCACACCAACUAGUGUCUUGAGGUACUUCAUUGCCUCAGUAUAUAUAUGUUUGAGCUAGUAUUAUGACCCUAGGUGUCUUAGAGUACCACCUAGUAAGCUAGCCAUGAUUUGUGUUCCCAGUGUGAUGAUUCUGGCCUUUAUUCUCGAAAGCAUCCCAUGAUGCCACUUAGUAGUAGGUAUUCUACUCCUUGGGUUUUGAACCCGAGAUUCACCCUACUUACCUCGUGUUGAUAGUGUUUGCUAGUUCCUUUCGGAUAUUAGUAACCUUUGUGAUAGUCCUCGAGGUCCGUGGUAUAUCGUUCUUACAAAUACCAUGAACCAUUCUUGGCAGGAGUUCUUUUGAACCAAAAGAUCACAACCAGAGUGCUCUUGAUGAGUUCUCCAUUCUAUAUUGUGAAUCUGCCAGUUCUACCUUCUGCAUGGGUUAUCCGGAAGAAAUGUUGAGCUUUGCUCGACCUACUAAUCUAUGCAUCCACAACUCAGAAAGAUAUAUGUUCCUUUGAGUUGUCCCUCUUCAGGCGUAUUCCGAUCUUCGUCUAUCAAUUGAUAGUCAGGAGUAAUUGUGCAUUCGUGUUAUCGAUGCUUAUUAUUCUUGUGGUCCGUUAAGCUAUUCUAUUUAGAAUGACUAGGAGAAACAAACUCCAGUACCUCAUCCAUAUCCAGGAUUGGGUCAAAAUAGUUGUGCUCCGCAGAUCAAAAUGCCAACCUAGCUUUUGAUUCUAUUCUACCCUGAAGUAUUACCGUCUUUAUGUCAGGAUUUUCAUGAGAAUUGCACCGGCUCUUGUGAAUUCUUGACGUAGUGAUACUUCUUGCCAUCAUUGUUCAUUCCUCGGCCCCGUGUUAUUGUAACCGGAACGCCGACAAGUGAAUCAUGAUGUGUGAAAUCAAUACCCCUAGCAACCAUGUUGCUUAGUGGUUAAUGGAGGAAAAUCUUAUUCUUAGUGUGUUGGUUAUGGAAUCAUCAUUCUAAGAUUGAUCGUGCUACCUAGUCCUUAUUUCCUGGUGCACUCUUCGAUCAAUGAGUUAGGAUUGUGCCAAUCCCUCGCUUAUUUGAUCAUAUCGUCUUGCCCUAAAAAGCAAGAUUGUUCUCGAGCUUAGUAACAUAUCGGUGGUUCAUGAUAUUCCGAAUUUCUUCUCGGAAGUAUCAUCAGGUUGUCCCCUGACCGUUAUGUUGAGCUCGUGAUCCAGUUGGUUUUUUCCUAAACCACCCCUUCUCCAAGAGUCUAUGUUGGAUACCCCUGAGCUAGUUGGUUAAGCUGAGCGACAACUUGGAGAGUUGGAAGAUGAAAGCUUUGUCUGACUUAGUUCAUUCCAAAGGGAUAUCUCUUUGUAUAUGUGUGUUGAAGAAAGAUGAUAUCUUCAUCGAUUGAUCUCCGUGACCAAUUGCUGGACCUAUUGUCUUGCCAAAACUUUGAUUUGAGUGUGGGCUAUUCUCAAAUCAAAUCAGAACCAAUGAUGUUCGUAAUGUUGCCUUACUCGUGGUUGAUCCCUCGAGUAUACACCAUUGUAUCUUUUGGUCUGACCAAUGCUAUCACAUUGUUCACAUAAUUGUGGAACUCCACUUAUAUGGAAACAUGGAUGAAUUGUUGUUGAGCCCAUUAGCAACAUUGUUAUCUUCUCCAUGAUUCGUGUUUGAACAUCCAGCUAGUAUUGGAAACUUUUAUAAGCAUUAUCUUCAUGUCCCGUGCAUGAAGCAUGUGCCUGGAUGCAAGAAGUGACUUCCUCUAGUUCAUGUGCAUUUGAUGCAAGUUGCCGCCGUGAACUCGAGAAAGUUUGUUUUUGCUUCCUCUGGAAUCAUCCCAAGUCAGUCAUGCAUAUGUGCGAAGUAUUCUGUGGUCUGGAGACUUGCAACCUUCAUUCUAUAUGCAUUCCUAGCACACCAAGCCACUGAUUGAUUUGUUCAAGGAAGAAAAGUCUAUGCUUGGGAUCUAAUCCAUGGACUUGCGUAAAGACUUCGAUAUCCUCAAUGAUGGUUCCCCACCUGAACUCGGUAGUGUUUUACUAUAAGGCUACUAUGUGGUCAUGCUUGUCUGGGACAACGUGUUCACAUGUGUGUAGCAGAACCAGCUCAUGUUUUGGAGCUUGCUAUCGUAGCUCAUUUCCCGAGAAUCUCGCAACGUCAUCUCGUCGAUUUGUGUUGCAAACUUUCGUUUUUCUUUCUAGACUCGAUGAGUCUGGAAUAUCCUGACACCAACCAGAUCUGAAUCUCAGUCGGAUAUGAUGGUUGGAACGUUUUCUCAAGAAUUAUAAUAUUGGUCUCUUUAUAACUGGUAAAGUGGAUGUCGUGGCCAACACACCCAGCCGGAAGACCUACUAUUGUAGUAUCUUGAUUGAGAAAGUUAGCCACCUCCCCAUAAGGAUUUCGUAGGAUUUAUUCCCUACUUGACCCUUAUGGAUUCCUGUGCUCCCGAAGUCCGACCUUUUACUUGAUGAUUCUAGGUACCAAACCAUUUUAAUAAAUGGGUUGCGCUAGCACAUCAAGGAGAACAUUAGAAGCGCAGUGCUAAAUGUCUCUCGGUCGAUUAUCCGGAUUUUGAUUCCUUGGCCUCGCUAAGGUGAAAUCUGAGAAGGUGUUAUCUCCUUUUGCAUCUGCAUCGUCCAUCACCAUUCAUCAUGGUAGUAUGUUGUGUUGCCAGGAUCCUUGACACGGAUAUUGGUAAGACCUUGAUGAAUAUGGAAAUGCUCAAGUUCUUGAGAGCACGCGCAAGCAAAAUCAUUCCUUGCAUUGUCGUCAACAAGGUAGUCCAUAUCAUCCAUUCUAGUCCGAGUAUGCCAUUUUACCGCACUCCGCCAAUGAUUGUUGUGAUUUGUCUUUGGCUGGUAUAAAGAGUUUCAAUGAUCCUUUCCAAUAGAGUUUCUUUCUAAUGUCAUCGUGUUGGAUGAAGAUCUCGAAAGCAAAGAUGUCAAGAUCAAUAUGAAGCAAUGAAUCAACAUUAUUGAGAAGGACAGUUCGAUCGUGAAUAUCGUGUUAGCUUUGUGUCGCCUCUGUCUUCUUACCUCAUGUCUUGAAUCUCGGGGCGAGAUUCUUGUUUAGUGGGGGCGAGUUGUCACAUCCCUAGUCCUGGUAUGCAGUAGGCUAGCCCUUCAUGUGUGCAUCAUGUUUAACUUUUCAAAUGAACUUGAAAUGGGGACUGAUCUAACCCUAGCACCAGAUCAAAUCAAAUAGGUUCAACAUAAAAUCAUUUUCAAUGAACCUUAAAUGCCCUUCUAAAAUGUUCAUCAUCUUUGCCUUGGUCUUAAACCUCUGACAAAAAUGGUGCACAAUUUUCUAGGUCAUCCUAAGGUCACUGAAUUAAAUCAUAAGUAUUUGAAUUUGGACAUUUAAAUUCUAUAAAAUAUUUUAAAUGUCCAAAUACUCCUAAACUGAAAUGUUCCAUGUUGGAUAUAUUCUAUACAGUGGGCAUGUGCAGUUUAGUGAUUUUUUAAAGGGUCUAGGUAUUUUUAGAAAAGCCCUAAAGAUUACAGAAUAAUAGAAAACAGAAAUUAAAAUAGAGAAACCAGAGAGAGAGAACUUACCUAGCGCUCACCAGGCAGCCCAGCUGGCCUAGCACUGUAGCUGAGGCCCAUCCCACCAGGGCAAAGCGGUCGUCUUCAACCUCUGCAGUAGGCAGAGGCGUGUCGACGCCAGCGCGCCUGAGGCCUCCACCUCCUCCCUCCCAGCCUGCCUGGCUCCUCCUCGAUGACCAGGCGACGCCACGCAGCCCCUGGCCCCCUCUCACUCUCUCCCGUGCCUCUCCCCUCCUCUGCUUUCUCUCCCUCUCGCGCCCGAGCGCAACCGCCGACGCCGUUCACCACCACUGCAGCCACCGCCUUCCCCUCGACCUCCCGACGUGUUCAGGAGCUCCGCCUUUACCACCUCCCCCUCCUCGCUGAGCAACGCACUGCGGGAGCCCCUGGAAUGCCGCCAUCGCCAUCGUCUUCAACCUCCAGCACCUGAGAUCGCCGGCAAUGCCACGUCACCGUCCGGCCUCCCCAGAGCUCGUAGAUGCCUCCAAACGACGCGGAGUGAGCCCCUCUUCGUUUCGCCCCUAUCCCGUCGUUCCGCACGUUCUCUAGCGCUAACACCGCCGUGCCCGAAUCUCACCACUGCCGUGCCAUGUCGCUGCCGCGGCCAGAGCUGCCUAUGCCCGCUUUUGAGCGUGUCGCCGUUCUCACCGUGCUCUCAGGAGCCGAACGCAUGCACAAGCUCCUGCUGUCGUGCUCCCUAACACCGACUCUGAGCUCACCCGAGCUCCAGCGACCGCCAAGGUCAUCGCCGGCGACAACUCCGGCCACCCCAGGCCCAACUGCCACCACCACCCAAUGCGGACGUGCGUCCGCAUCACGUAGAUGCCUCCGCCGGCCGUUUGGUCUCCGGAGAAACAAACCCGAGGCUCGCCACCGUGGUUGGCCUCGCCGGUGUCAAGCCGCUGGUGGGUUUGAUCCUGCUGACCCGGGUUGACCUUAUUUGACCCCCCCAGGGUCGCUGACAAGUGGGCCCAGGGCCCCAGCUAAUCCUAGUUUAGUUUUUUAUUAAGUCUAAUUACUCCACUGACAUUUUUAGUUAGUAGUAGUUUAACACUAAUUAAUUUAGAUUAGUUAGUUAGUCACUAACUUGUGGACCCCAUACGUAAGGUUUGACCUGGACCCGGCUCCGUUGACCCGCUGACGUCACACUGACGUCAGGCUGACGCAGCAAAUCAUUUUCUGGAUUUAUUCUUUUAUGAAAUUCCAGAAAAUGGUCAAAACUUCUAAAAAUCAUAGAAAUUCAACCAUAACUCCAAAUGAAAUAAUUUAUAUAUGAAAAAUUAUCAGAAAAAUCCAAUCUAUCCAUCUGUACUAUUUUCAUGCAUGUUAGAACAACUUAUGACUGCUGUUUAGGACAAUUCAAUUAAAUGGCAUUUAAAUAACCACAUGUGGAGUUUGAAUUUGAAUCUUGGAUUCAAACCAACUUCAUUUAAUCUGGUUUUAGUUGCAUUAGUACAAACCACAGCAUAUUGCCAUGUCACAUUCAUGCAUCAUAUUGUUGCAUUGCAUUGAUUGUGUUUCUUCUUUGUUUGUCGGUGCUUGUCCCCUCUCAGUAGACGUGUACCGACGAUGUGAUCGAUGACACUGAUGAAGAACUAUACUAUCUUCAGAAGUGCCAGGCAAGCAAAACCCCCUUGUUCAUUCUGAUACAAUCCCACUCUCUCGCUCCUGCUCUCUUUUACUGCAUUAGGACAACAACGAUUCAUCUGUUACUUUCCGCGGUAGUUGAACCCCCCUUAUCCUCUGCAUGACCUAUCAUUGCCACAGUAAAUAGAUGAAACCCACUAGCAUGAGUAGGAGUUGUUUGAGCCCCGAUGUGCCUACUCAUUCAUGCUUGUUUGUCAUGCCUGCUACUGCUUAGAGUUGAGUCAGGUCUGAUUCAUCGGGGAUGAAUUGGAAAGUGGUGAACAUGUCCUACUGUUGAGAGCUAAGUGUGUGAACAUGAUUUGGUAAAGGUAGCGGUGAGAGGCCAUGUAGGAGUACAUGGUGGGUUGUCUCAUUGAAACUGUCCUCAGGAACUGAGUUCUGUGUUUGUGAUCCAUGAACAGCUACUACCACACAUUGGGAUCCUUAAUUGACUCUCUCGACUUAUUAAUCAACCUGAUCUCUGUCCAGGAGUUGCAACUAGUUUCUGGUGUUUGUAGGUAGUGUUAGUAGUCUACCAAGUGACACCUAGCACAGGUGGGCUUGGGACAGACUAGGCACCAUGGCACGGUGUACCAAGCGGAGAUCCACCCGUCGAGGUGGGCUUGGGAACCCUGCUCACAUCGUUUGGGGCCGUGAGCGACACCCCGGCCGGAUCACCUUGAAGAUGGAACCCGAAUAGGCGAUAAACCUGGAUGAGAGACUUGUGUGGUUAGUCAGGUUGUGGCCGACUCCCUCGCCAGGCUUCCGCUUGAAGGUUGCCGAGAUACACGAGGAGUACACGGUGGUAAGUGGCGAGAGCGUGUGUGAAGAAGUACACCCCUGCAGGGUUAAUAUGAUCUAUUCGAAUAGUCGUGUCCGCGGUAAAGGACUUCUGGGUUGCCUAUACAGUUCAUAGACAAGUGAAAGUGGAUACUCUAAAAUACGCAAAAUAAGCGUGAGUGCUAUGGAUGGUGUUCUCGUAGGGAGACGGGAGCGGAUCCAUAGUGGUGUAUUGAUAUGGUGAAUAUGUGGACUCGUGUGCGCCACCUCAAAAGAGUUACUUGCAGUCAUAGUUUAGGAUAGCCACUGAGUCAAAGCUGGCUAGUUGCAGUUAAACCCCACCAUCCCCUUUGUUGAUAAUGACGCAUAUGUAGUUAGUUCUGAUGUAAGUCUUGUUGGGUACAUUUGUACUCACGUUUGCCUAUUUUAUGUUUUUGCAGAGAGACUUCAGUCACACUAGUAGUUCCACGUGAACUUCGACGUUUUGCUUGUUACCUCAGCUACGAUCUUAUGCCCUCGGCAGGAUCUGGUAGUUAGUCAGGCUUCUUAGCCUUUUUCAUUUGGAGUUGUCUGUACUCAGACAUGUUAAGCUUCCGCAUGUUCUUUGACUUGUAUGCUCUGAAUGUUGGGUCGUGAGACCCAUGUUUGUAAUAUCUUGCUCCUCGGAGCCUAUUGAAUAAAAUACUUGAGUUGUAGAGUCAUGUUGUGAUGCCAUGUUGUAUUUGCACAUAUCGAGCAUAUUGUGUGUAUGCUAUUGAAAUGCUUGGUAUGUGUGGGAUCUGACUAUCUAGUUGUUUAUCCUUAGUAGCCUCUGUUGGGGAUAUUACCACUAGGUGUAAACCGGCCAAGUUUGGGCCGGGUUAGCUCCGCUAGUGGUGUAGUCAUGAAAAGGCCCAAGGCCUGUAGUCGGUUUAGAACUUGUAGCUGUAAACCGGCCUAAUGUAUGACUUGUAUUAUAAGUUAGGAAUAGGGAGAUACCAACCGGGAUACGAGUAUGAACCGGUUGGGACUCUGCAAACCGACGGGCGUCACUCGUGUAUAUAAGGGGACGACCCGGCGGCGGUUCAGGACAGACAACAACAACUCGAGCCUAGGCGAAGCUUAUUUGCUCCCUAGCCAUCGAGACUACAUCAAUUCCAUCACAACUAGACGUAGGCUUUUACCUUCAUAGAAGGGGCCGAACUAGUAUAAAACCCUCGUGUCUUUGUGUCCGCUUUAACCCCUGCAAGUAAACCCGUAGCGAUGGCUCCACGACUAAGUCCUUAUGCUAGGACAUCUGCCGUGACCAAUCCACGACAGUUGGCGCCCACCGUGGGGCUAUCGCACGAUGGUUUGACGAUCUUGGAGGGCAAACUCAAAGGACUCGAAGGCUACGUCGUGGGCCGGAUGACCAAGAGUCGUCGCGGCCGGAUCUACAUCGACGAUGCCGGAUGGGGUCCCGAGGCCGAUUCAAUCGAGUAUGGAUACCGGGUUCCCUUCGGCGGCAUACACGUCUUCAUUGGCAAGAUCGGAGGGCCUGAGCCGGACAUCUGCACCGACCUCGUCGAGAUGGCUCAGCGCGCGCAACCGGCCCGGGCUAAACCGGCCGUGAAGCAUGUCUUCGUCGGAGUCACCCAUGGAGGGGAGUAUGAUACCGGUUCAGAGCACGAUAGCGAGACCGUCGUUUAUUCCGGCGAUGAAUCUUCAGCAGGAGAGACCGAGUCACUGUACCAGUUGCAGGAUGAUAUGAUCAGGGGCUGUUCCGACGGUGACCGUAUUCCGGACCCCCCAGGCCAGUUAAACCGGGUCGGUGUAUUCAUGGCCGGUACGCAGGCCGCAAACCUUUCUUCGACCGCAGCAGCAAUGCUUUCCGGUUCAGCGGCGGCGGCAGGGGCAGGAGGCCCGGUGCACCCGCCGGUUCAAGUUUUGUCAGAUCUGUUCGAUAUGUUGGCAGCACUUAUGGCGGUGGACAGCCCUGCAGAUCAGGGGGCCCAUAAUGCAGAAAUCACAAGGUGAAAGAGCAGAUCACGCAAGCCAAAGCGGAUCUGGCGGCAGAAAAGGAGCGUAUGGCUACAGAACGGGCCGCUUUAGAUGCGCAAGCUUACAAGCUCAUGCUCGACCAGAGUGCGUCACAGGAGGUGUUGAGGCGGAAGUACAGAUCGCGCCUGCCAUCAGGAUUUGACCCUAGAAGCCUCUUUCAGACCCCCGGAGCCGGACCCAGUAACCCGCCCCAGCACAGGGAGGUAAACCGGAUUGAGGCACCAGGAGCGGGAGCGACGGUCCAACCACGCCUGAUGGAGCCCCCACAGCAGAACACGGUAAUUCCUCCACCGGUACAGACACCCCCGGGCCAUUACUCCAACCCUAUGGACAACCUUGUUGCGGCUGCGGCACGAUUGGAGGCGAUCCCAGUCGAAGGAGAUUCCCCACAAGCAGUUGAGACACGCCGGGUUAAGGAGCUUCUCCGGACUGCACUGAUCCAGCAGGAAGCGUAUUCAUACAGCCGUGAUCGGAUUCACUCUACGCCCCGUCCAAGCCGGAGCUACAGCAGGCGCAUGGAUGAACCGGCCCUAUCAAGUAACGCGCGGGAACAUGAAGCGGCCCGAGGCAAUCACCAGAUAGGCGGCGUUCAUGAUGCUCAGGAGGUGGUGGAUCGGGCCCGGGCACGCAGAGAGGCUGAGUUAGCAGCGCAGGAUGAUGCGGAUCAACACACACCGGUUCGCCCGACCACCUUCGCCGGACCAGGAGUCACAUCCGCUUUGGGAGUGCCCUGUUUAAUCCCCGCUUUGCGCAAUGUGCGUCUGCCUAAGGAUUUUAAAGGCCCGCGCAAGGUGCCGAAUUACACUGCAGAUCUAUCCCCUGAAGCGUGGGUUGAGAGUUAUGAGAUGGCCAUGGAGAUGCUAGAUGUUGAUGAACUGCGUGUGCAAAGUACUUCACCAUGAUGAUGGAGGGCACAGCGCGCACUUGGUUGAAAAGCUUGCCGCCUAAUUCUAUCAGUUCAUGGGGUCAGUUACGGGCCCGGUUUAUCCAGAAUUUCAAGGAUACAUGUAAGCAGCCGAAGUCCAUAGUAGACCUGGCGACCUGCGUUCAAGAAGAAGGGGAGUCAACAACCCGUUGGGUACGCCGUGUGUCCGAGAUUUUGCACUCUUCGGACCGGAUCAAUGCUGACUCGGCGAUCAUAACAUUGGAAAGUAACUGCCGGUUUGAACCUUUGAAACUUAAGCUGGGACGUAUGAAGCGGUUCUGCAACGAUAUGGGAACCCUCAUGGCCGCUUUGGUAAAGUAUGCCGAUUCAGACAGCACCAAGGAUCCGGAAGCAGAUGAUGGCGAAGCAGGGAAAGGAAAGAAGAACGGCAACUCCAAGCAGCAGCAUUUCAAACCGGCGGGAUAUGGAAACGGGGGCAAGCGCAAGGCUGAUGGUAAUCCGGAUUUCGUAGCCAACGCUAAUGCGCAGGACAGAGGCCCGCGGCGCAGAGGCAAGGCGAAUCGGGGUCCAAAUGCUAGUGCAAGCCGUUUAAAUUACUUGUUGAAUCAGCCUUGUCCCAAGCAUGGAACGAAGGAAUCCCCGUCGACUCAUCUUUGGAAAGAUUGUUAUAUUAUGCAGGAGUUCAAAAAUUCCGAUGCUUUCCGAUAUGACCAGGGGUCAGGUGGCGGUUCAGGAUCCGGUUUCCACGGGCCAAGUCAGGACGGAGCUUCCGGUUCAGGGCAUAACCAGGGCAAUCUCAAUAAUCAGAGUAAUCAAGGUGGCCAGCAACAGCAGCAGCAGUCAGGCUAUCAGAGCCAACCGAAGCAGUUGAGUGGCGGGCAGUAUCACGUUUUCACAACCGGUUUGGACAAACGGGAUCGGAAGCUUCACAAACGGGCGGUAAACUCUGUUGAGCCGGCUUUGCCGCGGUAUUUGCGCUGGUCAGAGCAGCCUAUCGUAUGGAGCAGAGAGGACCAUCCCCCCCGGGUUGAUAAUCCGGGUCAGUUGGCUUUGGUGGUAGAUCCCCAGGUUGGGGGCUAUAAGUUUACUAAGGUACUUAUGGAUGGAGGAAGCAGCAUCAAUAUAUUGUAUUAUGACACUUUCCGUCGCAUGGGUCUCACAGAUAAAGAUCUCAGACCGUCCAAUACGGUGUUCCAUGGUGUAGUGCCUGGCAAAUCUGCUUAUCCUAUUGGUAAGAUAGCCCUGGAUGUGGCCUUUGGAGAUGAGCAUGAUUCCCGGUCUGAAAAGCUAACUUUUGAAGUGGUGAAAAUCCGGAGUCCAUAUCAUGCCUUGUUUGGGCGGCCAGCUUAUGCUAAGUUCAUGGCGCGACCUUGUUAUAUCUACUUGCAGCUCAAAAUGCCGGGUUACAAAGGAACAAUAACGGUGCAUGGAAGCCGCCGAGUCGCUUUGGAAUGUGAGGAAGGAGAUGCAGCUUAUGCAGAGGCGGUCUGUGCCACGGAGGAGUUGAAAUUUUAUAAGGACAAUGUUGAUCCGGCAGAUAUGACCCCUUUAAAGAAGCCCACUACAGAGCAUGAAUCAGAUUUGAAAUUUAAAUCGGCAGCUGAAACCAAGCUUGUUGACUUUGUGCCAGGCGAUUCGUCCAAGCAGUUCACUAUCAGUGCCAACCUGGAUCCCAAAUAGGAAGGCGCGCUCAUCGAGUUCAUCCGUGAGAACCGGGACAUCUUUGCAUGGAAGCCAUCUGACAUGCCGGGUGUACCGAGGGAACUCGCUGAGCACACACUUAAUGUGGAUCCUAAGUAUAAACCGGUAAAACAGUUCCUCCGCCGGUUUAAUGAAGAAAGAUGCAAGGCCAUUGGGGAAGAGGUAGCCAGGCUUCUGGCAGCUGGCUUUAUCAUCGAGGUGUUUCAUCCAGAGUGGCUUGCUAAUCCGGUGCUGGUCCUUAAGAAAAACGGCACCUGGCGUAUGUGUGUGGACUACACAGAUCUUAACAAGGCUUGUCCAGCAGAUCCUUUUGCUCUCCCCCGCAUUGAUCAGAUUAUUGAUGCCACGGCAGGAUGUGAGCGGUUAAGCUUUUUGGACGCAUACUCUGGAUAUCAUCAGAUCAAGAUGGCAGUUAAGGACCAGGAGAAAACGGCGUUUAUAACUCCCUUUGGAGCCUUCUGCUAUGUAUCUAUGCCUUUUGGGCUCAAGAGUGCCCAAGCUACUUAUCAGCGGUGUGUACAGAAUUGCUUGCAUACACAGAUCGGCCGCAAUGUGCAUGCUUAUGUGGAUGACAUUGUGGUGAAAUCAAGACAGAAGGAGACGCUGGUGGAAGAUUUGAAGGAGACCUUCGACAACCUGCGCAUUUAUAAGAUGAUGCUUAAUCCGGCCAAGUGUGUUUUUGGUGUUCCGGCUGGCAAGUUAUUGGGGUUCCUGGUGUCUAACAGAGGAAUCGAGGCUAAUCCGGAGAAAAUUAAAGCCAUCACCUCCUUGGCUAAACCAAAGUGUCUCAACGAUGUUCAACGCUUGGCGGGCCGGAUUGCGGCAUUGAGCCGGUUUAUCAGCCGCCUUGGAGAGAAGGCCAUUCCUUUAUACCAGAUGCUGAGGAAGACAGAUCAUUUUAUCUGGAGUCCAGCUGCUGACGAAGCUUUCGAGGACCUAAAGCGGCAAUUGGCCAACCCGCCUGUCCUUGCGGCUCCGGUUGACAAGGAACCACUGUUAUUAUAUGUGGCAGCCAAUGCACGAGCGGUGAGCGUAGCCAUUGUGGUAGAGCGCAAGGAGGCGGGAAAGGAAUAUCCGGUUCAACGGCCGGUUUAUUAUAUCAGUGAAGUACUUAUUGAAUCCAAGCAGAGGUAUCCGCAUUGGCAGAAGCUAGUCUAUGGUGUUUUUGUGGCCAGCCGGAAGCUGAAACAAUAUUUCCUAGGGCAUCCUAUUACAGUGGUUAGUUCAGCUCCUUUGGGUGAUAUCAUACAAAACCGGGAGGCGACUGGCCGGAUUGCAAAAUGGGCCAUCGAGCUUGGGCCGCAUGGGCUCAAGUAUACACCACGCACAGCAGUGAAAUCACAAGCACUUGUUGAUUUCAUUAAUGACUGGACGGAGUUACAAGCACCAGAGGAGAAGCCGGAUCAUACAUACUGGACUAUCCACUUCGAUGGAUCCAGGCAGUUGGAAGGCUCGGGGGCUGGAGUCGUUUUAACUUCCCCACGAGGUGAUAAGUUUUGUUACGUUCUCCGCUUAAUGUUCCCUUGUACUAAUAAUGCAGCUGAGUACGAAGCCUUGCUCCAUGGUCUCCGGAUGGCUAAGGAGAUGAACUUAAGCCGGGUUAAGUGCUUCGGUGACUCGGACCUGGUGGCUCAGCAAGUAUCUGGCACCUGGGAUUCUAAGGACCCCCUCAUGGCCGCAUAUCGUCGAGAGGUGGAUAACAUUGCAGGUUGCUUCAAGGGCUAUCAAGUGGAUCAUGUGGAUCGCCGGAAGAACGAAGCGGCAGAUGCUUUAAGCCGUUUGGGUUCUCAGCGUAAACCGGUGCCACCUAAUGUCUUUCUGGACGUCUUGCACAACCCGUCGGUACAGCUCCCUGGUGAAGCGGAUUUGGCGAUUCCUGAUCCGGAGGCUCAGUUGGUGGCGGCAUUACAUGCUAUUCCGGAUUGGACGGUUCCUUACAUUGCAUAUAUGACUAGAGGAGAGUUGCCAGACGAUGAGGUUCUGGCCAGACAGAUAAUCCGGCGCUCCAAGUCUAUGACGAUUCUUAAUGGUGAGUUGCAUCAUUGCAGUGUUUCAGGGGCGUUUCAACGCUGUGUUUCCCCUGACGAAGGUUGUGAAAUUUUACGAGAAAUCCAUGAAGGGGAUUGUGGGCAUCAUGCCGGUUCAAAGUCCCUGGUGGCGAAGGCAUUCCGUCAUGGAUUCUACUGGUUAACUGCUCAUGCUGAUGCGGAGGAUUUGGUCAAACGGUGCGAUGGGUGUCAGAAAUUCUCCAGGCGUGUCCAUGUACCGGCACAAGAGUUGCGGAUGAUCCCAAUAACGUGGCCGUUUGCGACAUGGGGGCUGGAUAUGGUCGGGCCUUUUAGGCGAUCCAAAGAUAAGAAGACCCACCUGUUAGUGGCAGUGGACAAAUUCACCAAGUGGGUUGAAGCGGAACCUGUCAGUAAGUGUGAUGCGGCAACAGCGGUACAGUUCAUCAAAAAGGUGAUUUUCCGGUUUGGCUUUCCACACAGUAUCAUUACUGACAAUGGCACUAAUCUGUCCAAGGGAGCUAUGAAAGAAUUCUGUGAACGUGAGCAUAUCCGGCUUGAUGUAUCAUCAGUGGCGCACCCCCAGUCCAACGGGCAGGCAGAGCGUGCUAAUCAGGAAAUCUUGCGAGGCAUCAAACCACGACUUCUGGUUCCAUUACAGAGAACACCAGGGUGCUGGGUUGAAGAGCUCCCAUCGGUACUAUGGAGUAUCAAUACUACGCCAAACCGGUCUACUGGCUACACGCCUUUCUUCAUGGUUUAUGGAGCAGAAGCAGUUCUCCCCAGUGAUAUCAGGCACGAUUCGCCCCGUGUAGCGGCUUAUGUUGAAGCGGACAAUGAAGCGGCACGACAGGACGCUCUGGACCUACUGGAUGAGGAGCGUGAUAUGGCAGCUGCUCGGUCGGCGAUUUACCAGCAAGAUCUUCGUCGUUAUCACAGUCGCCGGGUUAAAACCAGAGCCUUUCAGGAAGGAGAUUUGGUGCUUCGUCUCAUCCAAGACCAGACAGAUAUGCACAAGCUAUCCCCACCUUGGGAAGGACCCUUUGUGGUCAGCAAGAAUCUGCACAACGGUUCCUACUAUCUGGUUGAUAUUCGAGAGCAUAAAGACUCACGUACAUCAGAGGAGGAGACCAAUAGGCCGUGGAAUGUAGCUCAUCUUCGACCUUACUACACAUGAGUCAUCGGCUCAGUUGAUGUACAUAGCAUAACAAUGUAUAUAUUAUCUUCGAUAUAAUAAAAAUCAGGGCCUCAGCUAAAGCGGGGUCUCUGUCUUUCUUCUCAUGUGUGGUUACACGGAGUGUUUCUGUUUUUAAAGCGGCCUCCGGUUUACCCCUUGAUAGUUAUAUUUAUCACUUGGGGGCUUGGUCGUGUCCGAACCAAUGCAACACCUCUUGAUAGGCGAAAGCCACCAGAUCAUUUGGGGACACGGUCACGUCUGAACCGGUCACGCCUCUUGGUCGGCCAAUAGGGCCAGCGUCACUUGGGGGCUUGGUCGAACCCGAACCAAUGUCACGCCACUUGGCCGGCGUACUCGCCAAGAGUCUUUUGGGGACCUGGCCGACUAGCACCAUCGCUACGCCUUCGGGGGGCUUGGUUGCGUCUGACCAUGGUAAUGCCAUCUGACCAGCUCCAUGAAGCUUUACUUUCGCAAAGAGUUAUUGCCUUUGUUGCCAUAUUUGGUGUUCGAUUUUUGUUGCGUUUUCAAUACCCGACGAAUAUUUUUAUCCGGUUUAGCUGUCAGUAACAAACUGACAGAACACGGUUUGGUAUUACACCGAAGUUUUUCUCUUUCCGGUUUACCUUUUUCCGGUUCAUCCUCAUGGAGAAACAUGGGGGCUUGUGCUGAUUCAGCACGCCUAUGUAGGGGUUAUUGUUUCCCCAGACGGUUAUGGUCUUUAAAAGGCCUCCGUUUCAAGAUUGGCUACACCAGCUUCAUGCCUAGAUAUGGCAGGUAUUUGUAUCACAUACUAAUUGAUUUUCAAUAGAUAAAAUAUAUUGGAUGCCAUAAACCGGCUGGCAGUAUCAUCGCCGCCGAAGUUCAAUUUUUUGGUUGCAGGGAGUAUGAAUCAAACAAAAGUUUCCACGAUGCACGAAGGCAUACCCAGACAGCAAAGUUUUGACUAAGGCUAUUACAAGGCAAUACAGUGCCCAAAUGAGAUCAGUGUUUCUUAAACCAGGCUACCGGUUCACGACUGUUCUUCAUCCUCCGCCGCUUCAGCAUCUUCAUCUCUACCCAUCGGCUGGAAAUCCACAGAAGUCCAGUCGAUUCCCAUCAGCGCUUGAAAAACAGCUUCUUCGUGAAUCAAAGACGACGGUUCAAUGUCAGGUGCGUAGGUAUGCUUACGGAUUGGAGGAAUCAAGUUUUCCGGUUCAAAGGUUGGAGCGGACACACGCUUGUUCUGCUCGUUAUAUUGGGCUUGGUAGUGUUCCAAAUCGGCUUCUUCGGCCAACUGACAAGCUAGCGGGCGUACCGCCCGGUUUAUCGCACGCAAAUCCUCUUCAUUAAAGUCCGAGCCGUCUUCCUUCACACUGGGGUAGCCUUGAGCUGCUUCCACAGGAUCAAAAUCAGGCACCCAGGCUUUGGCUCGGAUCAAGGCGUUGAUGGCUCCGGUUCGUGCAGCAGACUUCUUUACCUCCUCAAUCCGGGAAGGCAGGAUGGAUAGCCGGUUCAAGGUAUCUUGGAUCAGGGACGGCGCUGGAUUGUUAUGUGACAUGGUGGUAAUCACGCGCUGGGCUCCGGUAUAUAGCUGCUCCACUAAAGUGUAGACAGCCUUCAGUUUCUUCCGCACGUCGUUCCCCAAGUGCCCAACGCGUGUGCCUGCAUUUGAUAACAGUAUAGUUUUAAACCGGAAUACUGGAGCAGCAGGAAAAGUAAAUUACACCUAUUCACAGGGAACUUACCGAAGAUGGCUGCCGUCAUGGAAUGCACUUGCCGCUUCACGGCUGUCAGAUCAUCCACCACCGGUUUAAGGGCAGCUUCAGCAUUCUCUGCCCGUUUGAGCAAGUUGGCCUUUUCAGUGGCCCAGACAGCCUGUUCCUUCUUCAUGUUAUCCUUUGCUUGUUCUGCAGCAGUCAGGGCACUGGUUAGCUCCUUCUUGGCUUUGUCUGUCUCGGCCUGCUGGGUCGUCAAUGCCGCCUGUAAAUCGGCAAUCCGAUCAUCCUUGAUUUUCACCUCAGCCUGCAUAUUGACAGUAUGGUCAGCCAGCAAUUAAAAGUUCAAGUCUCAACCACACAACAUAGUUAUAUGCUUGACACUUGGGGGCUAAUGUACCUUCAAUUUUUCUACUGAUAAUACAUGGAAAAGUCCCAAGUUCAAUACGAGUAUUCAACUCAGCACUUGGGGGCUAAUGGUUAUUUGAUUCUAUUAAAGUGUCGUCAGGAAGUUUUUGGAGUGCCGGUUUAAGUAUGCAUAAUUAAACCGGCCCUGAUGGUUAUGAGGGAAGAUUGCAAAGUCUAUCAAAGAAAGUUAUCAAGUACCAAUUUGAUCAAAGAUAGCAAACCGGCCCUUGGGGGCUACAAGGAUUACUAUAUUGGUAAUAAGGAAAGGAGCGUUACCUCAAACUUAUCUCUCAUCAGUUUCACCAAGCCAGCUUCAUAAUCACGGCUACUGUAAAGCCGGUUUAGAUAUCCGGAAUGAAGGUCUUGGGCGCUCAUAGCGGCGUAUGUUUCCAGCUCUACAUUCCACUUUCCCUUGUUAAAAGUGGAAGAGUCCUCUUUCACAGUAUGCCGGGUUAGAGUUGCAGCAUUCCCCGGUUCAGAGUGGCCCGUUCCAGUGAUUACAACGUCGUCAUCCUUCGAUUCGACGGAUCGUGUGGGCACACCUGUUUCAGUUGGAUUAUGAGGAUUUUCAAACCGGACAGUACGGGCGGCUGGAUCAACAGACAUUGAAACAGUCGCAGGCCUCUCCUCAGGAAUCACAUCUUCUUGAACCGGGGGAUCACUCGGAAUGUCUUCAAAGGCAACAUUUUCGAGAUCCGGUGCCUGUUCAUGAUCUGAAGCGGCAGCCUCUUCAGCUGUUUUCUCCAAGCGAGCUUUCUUGCUGGGUUUCGGUUUGGUUCUGAAGAAACAAAAGAUUCAGAAAUAAGGCACAUACAUUACAGAAGAAAUCAACAAGCAUAUGACUGUAUGAACUUACCCGACGGCUAUCUUCAAAGGUGGUAGCUGAGUGGCUGAUGAUUCGCUAGAGGACGAAUGGGAGGUGACCUGAUAAUCGGAGUCGGACGGAUUAAGAGGUUGACGGAAUAAACCCGCUUUGGAAUUCAAGGUAAUAAAAAGGUUGGAAACCUCGGUGCGGCGCUUUCGAGCCGGGCUGUUUGGUAAACCGGCAGAGGUAACUACCUGUCCGCUAUGCCGGGUUGUGCGGCGGGCCUCAUGCUGCUGUGUCUUCAUAAGAAGUUUGGGAUCCAAGUAAGCAAGAGGGUGAGAAAAGUUAACUUUCCGGUUUGCCCGGCGAAAUUUUGGUGAAGGCAAAUUUGUUGAAUCAGAAGAGAGAAUGGUUACCUCAGCAAAUCCUGUGUUGCUGGCUUCAGCGUCAUCCUGACAAGCAUCGUCAUCAAUAAGACGUGUAAAAAACAAGCCAAGAGAAUCAAGUUCCGGAUUACCCACAUCAUCAUCGAUGGCCGGAUCAGACGAAGCCGUGGUUUUCCUCUUAUGGGCGGAUUUCUUGACAACUUUCGUUUUGGGCCGGUUUUGCCGCCCAGCCUUGUCCGCUUUGUCUUGAGAGAGUUUCUUGCUCCAAAACGGAUUAUCACCCUGGAUCAGAAAUAAUUGAGAGUUGGAAGUAUGAAAGUAAUAGCAGUAUUUAAUAAUAACACAGUCAGAGACUUACCGCAGGAGGUGCGUUGAAAGUGCAGUAAGGAGCCAAGCCGGUUUGGGCACAAAGGUGCUCCGGUUCAUUCAGCAUCUUCCUCACUGAAUCCGUGACUUCAUCUUCAGACAGUUCCAGUUUGGUGUGUCGGAGUGGGUCAUCGACGCUGCCGGUAUACUGGCACAUCAAACCGGAACGCCGGCUUAGAGGCAAUAUGCCCCAAGAUAACCAGCAGCGUGCCAAAUCGAUCCCAGUCAAACCGUUGGCCAUGAAGGCCCGAAGCUUGGAUAGCUGUGGAGCAUAUUUGCUUCUCUCUUUGGCAGUCAAUCGUUGCGGAAAGGGAUGAGUGUUGCUGAGCCGCUCUGGACGAAAAACAGGUAAAGGAUUUUCACCUUCAGGGGAAGUGUCUUUGCAGUAGAACCAAGUCGCGUUCCACUCUUUGGGAUGAGUGUGGAGUUUGACGUGGGGAUAAGUGAUCUCCUUCCUCUUCUGGAUAGCCAUACCGCCCAAUUCGGUAUUGGGGCCAUCGGUGAAUUCGGUGCGGCGGUUUAGGUGGAAGAGAUCCCUGAACAGUUCAACAGAGGGCUCCUCUUGCAGAUAUGCUUCGGACAGCACUUGAAAAUGGCAUAGGUUGGUGACAGAAUUGGGGCCGAUAUCUUGGGGGCGGAGUUGAAAAUUAGCCAUCACGUCCCGGUAAAAUUUUGACCCGGGCGGUUUGAAACCCCGGGCCAAGUGAUCUGCAAAAACCACAACUUCUCCUUCCUGAGGUGUGGGAGGACAUUCCUCUCCGGGAACCCUCCAAUGGAUUGUAUUUCGGUCAUCUAAAGCGCCAAUCGACACUAACUCAUUCAGUUGUGUCUCAGAGACGCGGGAAGGGACCCAGUUGCAUUCGUACACCUGUUUGGCCAUCAUAAGAUCUACAAGGAGAAGGAUCCGGUUUAAGAAGGCGUUAUUUGCAGAGUGGUUGAUUUAAGCUAUGAUAAACCGGAGGCGUUUCCUACGAGUCAGUUCGUUAUGAUAUGAUAUCAGGUAUGAACUAGGCGGUUCAACAAGGGGACUAAUGGUAUGCCGGUUCCGGUUUAGCAAUUUUUUACUAUGGUGAGUUAAACCGCCUAAUCUUGGUUUCGAAGGUAAUGGACAGAAACAGGUUUCACAAGAUUUCAUGUUUAUUAUGGAUCAAACGCGAGUUUUCAGAAACCAGGAAAAGUGUCGUGAAAGUAAAGAAGAAACAGGAAUGCACCAUAAGGUAUAUAUGUAUAUAUGCAGAAGAUCUAUGGGAUUCAGAUGAGAAGAUCUAUGUAUAUACGCAUGUUCUUUGACUUGUAUGCUCUGAAUGUUGGGUCGUGAGACCCAUGUUUGUAAUAUCUUGCUCCUCGGAGCCUAUUGAAUAAGAUACUUGAGUUGUAGAGUCAUGUUGUGAUGCCAUGUUGUAUUUGCACAUAUCGAGCAUAUUGUGUGUAUGCUAUUGAAAUGCUUGGUAUGUGUGGGAUCUGACUAUCUAGUUGUUUAUCCUUAGUAGCCUCUCUUACCGGGAAAUGUCUCCUAGUGCUUCCACUGAGCCAUGGUAGCUUGCUACUGCUCCGGGACACUUAGGCUGGCCGGCAUGUGUCCUUCUUCGUUCCUGUGUCUGUCCCUUCGGGGAAAUGUCACACGAUGAAUACCGGAGUCCUGUUAGCCCGCUACAGCCCGGUUCACCGGAGUCCUGCUAGCCCAGUGCUACAGCCUGGAUUCACUCGCCGAUGACCGACACGUUCGUUGCUGGGUCAUGGAUGCCUGUCCCUGUAAGUUUGUGCCACUUUGGGUUUUCGACUAGCCAUGUCAGCCCGGGCUAAUUAUCAUAUGGAUGCUAGCGACACUAUCAUAUACGUGUGCCAAAACUCGCAAAUGGUCCCGGGCAAAGGUAAGGCGACACCCGUGGGGAUACCGUGCGUGAGGCUGCAAAGUGAUAUGAGGUGUUACAUGCUAGAUCGAUGUGGCAUUGAGUCGGGGUCCUGACAAUGGGUCUCCGGAAUAAUAUUCGGUUGGGGGCCGAAUUGAGCAUGGCCCCCGUCGUCGGUCUCCAUGGGGAUUGAUUUCCCCCUCUCUUCGGCAACAGAGAUAUUACCCUCCGUUGCCACCUUCACGGCCUCCUGCACCUACCGUGACCUGGAGAGGUUCUUCGGGACAACACUUCAGUGUUGUGUGUAGCGGUGGGGGAGAAACCAACGGAGGAGAUUUGCUCUCCAUCGCGUUCGGCCCUAGCGAGUUCCCAGUUGACGAUGAUCGUUUAGGGAGACCACGGGCUGGGCUGCAACAUGUAAUUCAAUAUAUUAGAAACACAAGGCAUGAAAUCGGCUAUAUGAACGGUGUCUUUGGAUACUUACGAUGCGGCCAGGGGCUUUAGCCUGGGGUGCCACUUGGGGAUGGCUUCGGCAUCCGUUUCGGAGUCAUCCGAAAGGGAGGGUUUCCCCUUCUCAGAUGCUUCUGCCUCUAGAUCCAUGGAAGCCACCCUUUUCUUCUUUCCCCCUUAAGGGGAGAGUUGCUCUCUUCCUCCUCUACAUCUUCGUCAUGAGAGGAGGAGGACUUGGUGUAUUCAGACACGAUGUUCGAAGCACCCUUACGGCGGAGGCCACUUCUGGCCUCCUUGCCCUUCUUCUUGGCCUUCUUCUCUGGUGCCUGAUACGGCGCCGGAACCAGCAUCUUCGCUAGCAAGGGGGUGGCCUGGUCCUCGAGCGGCAGAGCUGGACAUUUGAUUUGCUCCGCCUUCUUUGUCCAUCCCUAUGUGAGUAAGAAAGUUCAAUAUACUCCUUGGAUUUGCAAAUAAAGUUAUCAUAAAACUUACGGGAGUGGCUGGACGUGCGUAGUCAAGGCCGCGGUCUUCGGUUGUCUCCGACUAUGACUUUUGAGCCUUGAAGAGCAGCUUCCAUAUGUCUUCGCGCGUCGCAUCGAGGAACCACUGCAGGGUCCGAGGACCGACCGGGUCGAAUUCCCACAUAUAUUGAGUCUGGUGUUGACAAGGAAGAAUCCGGCAAAAAAGCAUCACCUAGAUCACGCUGGCAAGGCUGAUGUUCUUGUUUAUCAUGCCCUUGACGCGACUCUCCAGCGUCGUCACCUCGUCAGGUGACUCCCAAUCUAAACCCUUAUUGAGCCAAGAUGUAAGCCGCAUCAGGGGUCCGGACUUGAACUCAGGAGCGGCGGCUCAUGUGAUAUCGCGGGGUUCCGUGAUAUAGAACAACCCCUGCUGCCAUCCCUUGACGGAUUCCACAAAGGUCCCCUUUGGCCAGGUGACAUUGGGAAGUUUGCUCACCAUGGCGCCAUUGCACUCCGCGUGUUGGCCUUCGACCACCUUCGGCUUCACAUUGAAGACCUUGACCCAUAGGCCAAAGUGGGGAGGGACGUGGAGGAAUGCCUCUCACAUGACGAUAAACGCCGAAAGGUUGAGGAAGGAAUUUGGGGCUAGAUCAUGAAAGUCUAAUCCAUAGUAAAACAUGAGACCGCGGACAAAAGGAUGAAGGGGAAACCCUAGUCCGUGAAGGAAAUGGGGGAUGAACACCACCCUUUCAUUAGGCUUCGGAGUGGGAACGAUCUAUUUUUUGGCAGGGAGCCGGUGGACUAUGUCUGUGGCCAAGUACCCAGCUUCGCGAAGCUCCUUGAUGUUCUCCUCUGUAACAGAGGAAGCCAUCCACUUGCCAUGCUCUCCAGAUAUGGACAUGGCUAGGAGUGUUUGGUGGCGGUGCAAAGGAUUGGGACUUGGGUGCUGGAGCUCGAAUGCCAAAUAGGCAGAGGAGGAAGAAGGCGUGAGGUAAAAAGAUGGAUCUUUGUCUUCUUAUAAAGGCAGUGGAUAUCAAGUGUCCCCUCUGGAGCCUUAAAUAUCGCCUAUUCCCAAAGGGACGUGUGAACGGCACGGUUGGAUUACCCAAACCCCUGUAAUGACAAUCACGUGAUUAGGGGACACGAUCCCCGCUUUGACAAGACGUGCCUAUGACCAUGCCUCGAAACAUGAAGCGAGGGUUGUAAAAUGGUUCAGAAUACUAAUAAGGCCAGGACAUAAUGCCUCACCGGUAAAAUCUCCUAUGGGAGUGGCUUUCUUUGUUUCGAGUAUUUGUUGCCCUUACAGCUUGAAGUUGUAAUUAUUAAACAGAGCCGGAUACAGCUAUCAUGCGCGAAGGACUAUUUUGGAGUAUUCGGAGAAGGAACCAGCCUUGCAAUGCCAAAGACAAUCUACGCGCCGAAUACGUCGUCAUUGAAGCUUGGUUCAGGGGCUAUUGAGGGAGUCCUGGAGUAAGGGGUACUCGGGCGUCCGGGCUAUGUGAUAUGGGCCAGACUAAUGGGCCAUGAAGAUAUGAGAUUAAAGACCUUUCCCCGUGUCCGGAUGGACUCUCCUUUGCGUGGAUGGCAAGCUUGGCGUUUGAAUCAUGCACCUUCCUUUCUCUGUAAACUGACUUUGUACAACCCUAGAUCCCUCCGGUGUCUAUAUAAACCGGAGGGCUUAGUCGAUAGGGAGGGGAAUCAUAAUCAUACAGGCUAGACAUCUAGGGUUUAGCCAUUACGAUCUCGAGGUAGAUCAACUCUUGUAACCCCUAUACUCAUCAAAGUCAAUCAAGCAGGAAGUAGGGUAUUACCUCCAUUAAGAGGGCCCGAACCUACGUAAACAUCGUGUCCCCUGCCGCCUGUUACCUUCGAUCCUUAGACGCACAGUUCGGGACCCCCUACCUAAGAUUUGACGGUUUUGACACUGACAUCCUACCCCCCCCCCCGGGCGCGCCCUCCACCCAUGUGGCUGUCUCGUGGCUCCUCCGACUUCAUCUCCAAGUCUCCUGGUUUGCUUCUGGUCCAAGAAAGAUCAUCGCGAAAGUUUUAUUCCAUUUGGACUUCGUUUGGUAUUCCUUUUCUGCGAAACUCUAAAAUAGGCAAAAAAACAAAAACUGGCACUAGGCUCUAGGUUAAUAGGUUAGUCCUAAAAAUAAUAUAAAAAUAGCAUAUUAAUGCAUGUAAAACAUCCAAAACAGAUAAUAUAAUAGCAUGGAACAAUCAAAAUUAUAGAUACAUUGGAGAUGUAUCAAGCAUCCCCAAGCUUAAUUCCUACUCGUCCUCGAGUAGGUAAAUGAUAAAAACAGAAUUUUUGAUGUGGAAUGCUACCUAACAUAUUUAUCAAUGUAAUCUUCUUUAUUGUGGCAUGAAUGUUCAGAUCCGUAAGCAAUCAUGUCUAAUAUUGACACAAAAGUUUAAUAUUGACAUAAAAACAAUAAUACUUUGAGCAUACUAAUAAAGCAGUCAUGUCUUCUGAAAAUAACAUGGCCAAAGAAAACUAUCCCUACAAAUCAUAUAGGCUGGCUAUGCUCAAUCUUCAUCACACAAAGUAUUUAAAUCAUGCACAACCCCGAUGGCAAGCCAAGCAAUUGUUUCAUACUUUUGAUGUUCUCAAAAAAUUUCAACUUUCACUCAAUACAUGAGUGUGAGCCAUGAAUAUAGAACUAUGGUCGAAGAGAAUAUGGUGGUUGUGGAGAAGACAAAAAGAGGGAGAUAGUCUCGCAUAAACUAGGUGUAUCAAUGGGCUAUGGAGAUGCCCAUCAAUAGAUAUCAAUGUGAGUGAGUAGGAACUGCCAUGCAACGGAUGCACUAGAGCUAUAAGUGUAUGAAAGCUCAAAAAGAAACUAAAUGGGUGCGCAUCCAACUUGCUUGCUCACGAAGACCUAAGGCAAUUUCAGGAAGCCCAUCAUUGGAAUACACAAGCCAAGUUCUAUAAUGAAAAAUUCCCACUAGUAUAUGAAAGUGAUAUCAUAGGAGACUCUCUAUCAUGAAGGUCAUGGUGCUACUUUGAAGCACAAGUGUGGAAAAAGGAUAGUAACAUUACCCCUUCUCUCUUUUUCUCUCAUCAUUUUUUUAUUUAGGCCUUUCUCAUCAUUUUUGGCCUCCUUUUUUUAUUUUGCGUCCAGAGUCUCAUCCCGACUUGUAGGGGAAUCAUAGCCUCCAUCAUCCUUUCCUCACAUGGGACAAUGCUCUCAUAAUGAAGAUCAUCACACUUUUAUUUACUUACAACUCAAGAAUUACAACUCGAUAUUUAGAACAAGAUAUGACUCUAUAUGAAUGCCUCCGGCGGUGUAACCGGAUGUGGAAUAAAUCAAGACUGACAUGUAUCAAAGAAUUAUGAAAGGUGGCUUUGCCACAAAUACAAUGUCAACUACAUGAUCAUGCAAAGCAAUAUGACAAUGAUGAAGCGUGUCAUAAUGAACGGAACUGUGGAAAGUUGCAUGGCGGUAUAUCUCGAAAUGGCUAUGGAAAUGCCAUAAUAGCUUGGUAUGGUGGUUGUUUUGAGGAAGGUAUAUGGUGGGUGUAUGGUAUCGGCGUAAGUUGCGCGACACAAGAGAGGUUAGCAAGGGUGGAAGGGUGAGAGUGCGUAUAAUCCAUGGACUCAACGUUAGUCACAAAGAACUCAUAUACUUAUUGCAAAAAUCUAUUAGUUAUCGAAAUGAAGUACUACAAACAUGCUCCUAGCGGGAUAGAUUGGUAGGAAAAGACCAUCGCUCGUCCCCGACCGCCACUCAUAAGGAAGACAAUCAAAAAAUAAAUCAUGCUCCAACUUCAUCACAUAACGAUUCACGAUACGUGCAUGCUACUGGAAUCACAAAUCCUAACACAAGUAUCUCUCAAAUUCACAACUACUCAUUGGCAUGAUGCUAAUAUCACCAUCUUCAUAUCUCAAAACAAUCAUAAAGAAUCAAAAUUCUCAUAAUAUUCAAUGCACUUUAUAUGAAAGUUUUUAUUAUAUCCAUCUUGGAUGCCUAUCAUAUUAGUACGUACUAAAUUUAUAACCAAACCAAAUUACCAUGCUAUUCUAAUGACUCUCAAAAUAAUAUAAGUGAAGCAUGAGAGUUCCACAAUUUCUAUAAAAUAAAACCAUUGUCGUGCUCCAAAAAUAUAUAAGUGAAGCACUAGAGCAAAAUUGCAUAGCUCAAAAGAUAUAAGUGAAGCACAUAGAGUAUUCUAAUAAAUCAUGAUUCAUGCGUGUCUCUCUCAAAAGGUGUGUACAGAAAGGAUGAUUGUGGUAAACUAAAAAGCAAAGACUCAAAUCAUACAAGACGCUCCAAGCAAAACACAUAUUGUGUGGUGAAUAAAAAUAUAGCCUCAAGUAAAGUUACCGAUAGACAAAGACGAAAGAGGGGAUGCCUUCCGGGGCAUCCCCAAGCAUAGGCUCUUGCACUACAAAAAAGACACAUCUGUGACAUUUUGGGCCGAACGAAAAAAAAUUAUGUCAUACUUAUGACACUUCUAUGAUGAUAAUUGUGACAAAACCCAGUAUCAUCAUAGAUGUGGUGGGCUCCUACUUCUAUGACAAAAAAUCAUGACAAAAAAUGGGCUUUUCAUCUUGGGCAGGUCGGAGACGCAGCUGCAUGACAUUCUUUGGGCCGUCCAUGACGGAAAAACCCGUGGUAGAAGCGAGGGCGAGGAAAAUAUCGGGGUGUUCCCGGUUAUGGUGGGUGGUCGGGGUCGAGCGAUGCACGGAGGUAUGCGCGUUUCCCUCAUACACGCACGCGCGUGGGUGCGAGGCGUUGGGCUCUAACUGAACCCGAGCAAGGCGUUCGCUUACUGAACCCGAGCGAUUGCACUGCAGGCUAUGCGUUACUGAACCGGAGAGAUCGAUUGAUGGCUGUUAACUGAACCCGAUGGAGCGAUUUCUUCGCUACUGCUGCUAACUGAAGCCGAUCGAUGCUGCCUCUAGAUGAACAGUGAGCGUUGCAGGGGGUUUGGAUGAACAGUGAGUGGUGGGGUGGAUGAAUAGGACCCCGUGGUAUUGCCUCUGGAUGAAUAGGACCCCGAUCGAUCGAGCCGGUUGGGGCUGGAUGAACAGGACCUCGUGGAGGGCUGGAUGAACAGUAGUGUAACGCCCCGGAUACAAAUUUCCAUAUUCGUAACUCCAACUCUAGCCUUUUCCGGAGAUGUCAUAUAUUAUUUUCCUCCGUGGUUGGGUUUUUGUCUUUUGUUUUUGCAUUUUGUUCAUGUCAUGCAUUUCAUCUCAUGUCAUCAUUCGCAUUGCAUUUGUAUGUUUUCAUAAAACUCGUAACCGUUCGCAGUUGCCCUUUCUUUCUUUGCCUCCGUUGGCAUUUUGUUAGGCCCUUGUCCUCGUUGACCUCCUCGGACCGCUUUGCCUUUGUUGACCUUCUCGCAGACCAUUUGGACCCCUCUCUUCUCUCUUUCUCCGAGACCAACAAAACCCCCCUGACCCCGUGGCCUUUCGGCAGACCCCAUUGUAUUUGUUUCCCCCUCUCUUCUAAAUGCCCACCCUCUCUACACUUUGCUCAGUCCCCGUCGCGCGCGUACAUAAGUUGUCCCAAACCCGACCCGGGUUGUUGUUACCGAUGGGUCCAGAUCAUCCCCAAACAUCUAUAAAACAUCUUCGUUUUUAUUUGGACUUCCCUACCUAUUUAUUCUCGGUCGUUUGAUUUCGACCGGAGGGACUAGGUACCCCUAACCUAAAACACUUGAUAUAUAUAUAGGUCCAACCCUAGGAUCUAGGGAUCAUGUCCCAUCCAUCCCCAUGCCGCCGCCACUCCACAAAAUCCUCGUCGGGAUCUCUUCUUCUCAAUUUCAGCCACCAAGCCAACCAUCGCUCUCCAGCUCCUCCCUGUUCGAUCCCCAGCCACCUCGACCGCGCCUGAGACCAGCAGCUCCACCACCAAGCCGCUCCCUCGCCUGCGCCCCUAUCCCCUGCACCACCUCGCCGGAGCUCCUCUCCAGCAUGCCGCCGGCAAGCAGCAACAGCAACCAGGCCGAACCCGCUCGCUGCUUCUCUUUCCCUUCUUCUCUCGUUCCCUCUGGGUUCCUCUCUCACAUGUUGUCUCUCUUCUCCAUAAAACUUGCAGGAACUCCAUGGCGUCCCUGAGCCAACCAUGGACAGCUACUGCCAGAGCUCGUCUUCCCCGCUCGCGCGUGCCCGCCGCCGGCAAGAGCCCCAGGCCAGUGAGCCAAGCCUCUCCCUUGCCUUCUCCUUUUCUCGUGCUCCCUUUUUCUCUUCCCCCGCGAACCUCCCUUUUGCUCUCUGAACGGCAGCCAUGGAUAGCCCCAGGAGCUCCCUCGCAGCCGCCUGGAUCUGGCGUCUCGCCGAAGAACGCCGUCCUCGCCCAGAUCCAACCGCCCCUACUUCCCGUCGCGCCUCCCCGCCUUGGAUCCGGUCGUCCCCGCGACGUCCCUGCCGCCAUGUCCACGCCACGGCCUCUGCUUCCUCUUCAUCGAGCAGGAGCUCUGCUCGUCCCGCGCGCCUGAAGAUCGAGCAGCUGUGCUCGUUCUCGAGGGCGUUGACUAGGCCCAGUCGCAAGCCUCGCGGCCCAGAUCCGUGCGCCCGCUGCUCUGCUUCCCUCUCGGGCUGUUGGCCCAACGUGAGCAGCUCUCCCCAGCCCAGUCCGCCUCCAGAUGUGGCCCGGAUCAUUAUUUUUUCCGUCUGCGAAUUUGUCUAAUUAUCCAGUGAUUUAUAGAUUUGCAGAAAACCCCUCAUACUUCAUGCAUUUAAUAACUAAAUAACCAUGCAUCAUAUGUAAAAACUUUAUACAUGUAAAAUGCUUAGAAUUUUAUCUAGUUUCAUAAUCUGCUACUUUCAUCUAUGUUUGAAAUGUUUAAAAUGUUGUUUGUUUAAAUUUGCUUAAAUGCCAUGUUAAAAUGAUUUAAUUCAUAACUAAAUAACCGUAGCUCGGUUUUAAAUAAACUUUAUAUGUAAAUGGGGUGGAAAAAUGCCUAGUUUAACAUGGUGGACUUUAUUUUCCUGUUUAACAACAUUAAAAUUGUGUUUGGAGCAGAACAGUACCAAAUUCUAAAUAUGCAUAUGGGGAUUUUCCGGAAUUGUUGUUUGUUGUUCCGACCUCAUUUAAACUUGCCUAGAUAGGUAGUUUUCUUAUGCUUCACCUCUUGCCAUGUUUAACAACAUUUAAUAUUGUUUGGUAGCUUAUACGAGAUUAAACUAAAUAUGUCAAUGUGGUGUUUUGUCAAUAUGCAACUCGUUGCAUAUUGAGCUCCACUUAACUUGUAGUAUUGUUUGUUGCACUUUGCCAUGCCAUGCCUCAUUAAACCGGACAUGCAUCAUAUUUGUUUGUGCAUCAUGCCAUGAUUAUGCUUGUGCAUUUACCAUGUUGUUUGUUUCUUUCUGGUGUUGCUUCUUAGUUCCGGUAAUGUUGCGAUUGUGAGGAUUCGUUCGACUACGUCCAUUCAUCUUCUUCAUGGACUCGUUCUUCUUCCUAGCGGGAUUUCAGGCAAGAUGACCGCUACCCUGGAUCUCACUACUAUCACUGCUUUGCUAGUUGCUUCGUUCUAUCGCUAUGCUGCGCUACCUAUCAAUUGCUCUUCAAGCCUCCCAAAUUGCCAUGUCAGCCUCUAACCUUUGACACCCUUCCUAGCAAACCGUUGCUUGGCUAUGUUACCGCUUUGCUCAGCCCCUCUUAUAGCGUUGUUAGUUGCAGGUGAAGUUGAAGAUU
rnacentral:lncRNA from 1 species